rnacentral:lncRNA from 1 species
AGAAGCGGUGGUGGUGGUGUUCUGCUGCUGCUGAUGGGUUUGGAGAGGAGAGGGCGAGGCAGUGUCAUGAACUCAGUUGGGUCGAGUCAACUUGUUUCCAGUUUUGGGGUAUGGGCAAGUUCAACACUUCAACUUGUCUGAGAUUCUUUAUCGCAAAACUAAAACUACUUAUAGUUCCAAGACCGUGGCAAAUAUAAAUACGUAAUUGAAAAUAACAUUCAUUUCAAACUGUCACUGUAUCAGUCACCAACUCACCAUGACACGUCACACUGCAUCAUAUACGAAUCAUUCAUUCAAGUACUUUCACACGAUUAAUUCUGGAAAAGAAAAAUAAAAAAUGGAACUUGACUGCUCGACAUUUUGCGUCGUUUCGUCUAAACUUAAGAAGCAGAAAUAAGAAGUUCCCACCUCCCUGCUUGAUGAACUAGAACGGGAAAAGUCUUCCUAGUUCCUAUUUGCAGCGCCUGCUUUGUGCCACUUCCAACUGAUGGUGUCUCGACACUAACACUAAACAUCCAAAGCAGUGGGAAAUUGGAUGUGUAAGGCCAUCUUCAGUAAUUAGGUUCAAAGGGCCAUCUCCUAAAUUGACAACGUCAAGAAAAAUGAUAGUAUAGUUUAAUUCUAUAUAAAUUGAUGCCUCUCUAGAAUUAAGUCCAACUGUAAUUUGUAAAACAAAAUUAACAUAAAUAAAUAACAAAAGCAUCAUCAUCUUGUUACAAGUUGAUCAAUUACUGCAUCGACACGAUAGUAUAACAACUUUCUCAUAUUGAAUUUUGAUUUGAUUUACCACGAUAGUACGUAACCAUUGCAAAAACAGAUCUACUUCUUGGGUAAAACACUAACCAACUUAAUUGCUUCAUAAUUCAGGCAUAAACACCUAUCUAUUCCAUGGAAGCAAAUUCUAAUCGAAUCAAUGAUUUACCAGAACCUGACUUGAGAUGCUAAUUCUCUAAAUAGAUUUUGGUAAAUCAUAGACCGAGUAGAGGUCAUCACCAAUUCUUUAACUUUUUUUGGUAAAUCGUAGUCCUGAGUCUUGCAUGAUAGUAUAAAAAGUACUUGUUGAAACUAAGUUCUAGUUGGAUUAGUGAUUUACCGAGGAAAUAUCAUUGCAAGAAUCCUCUAAUUCCCUGGUAAAACCAACAAUAGAUUUCUUCUUCAAGGCUAAAUAAUCUUGACAUGAACAUCUAGCUAUCUCUUUCUUGGAAGCAAAUUCUAAUCGAAUCAAUGAUUUACCAGAAAUCUAAUUUGAGAUUAUAAUUUUUCAAAUAGUUUUUUGUAAAUCAUAGACCGACUAGAAGAUAUCUCCAACACUAAAAAUUGAUUGUAAACAAAUAUUUUCAUGCAAGUUGUGUAAAUAUGCAUCAAAUGUCGAGGGUAUAUAUAGGCCUCCUAAAAACUAUUUGUGGAACUCUCAUUAACGGAUUCCCAAACAUGAAAAUCUAAUUGUAAUCCACUAAAGAAGAAAACAUAUUAAUGUCAUAAAAUACAGAGACAACCACAAAAUAUAUCACAUUUAUCUACAAUUCCAUAUCUAUCGAUUUUAAAAAUCCAGAAUUUAUUUUUCAGAAAAAUAAAAUAGAGAGACAACCACAAAAUAUAUCACAUUUAUUCACAAUUCCUUAUUUGUCGAUUUUAAAAAUCCAGAAUUUAUUUCUUCAAGGAAAAAAUCUAAAAUUUAUUUGUAAUCUGCUAAAUAUGGUCGACACAUUAAUGUUAUUGUUUACAUACAUUGAACCACCUUCAUAGGAAUCACAUUAUUCUCAUUCAUACCAUGCUUUCAAUGGUAAGAUAAUCCAACUACAGCUUUGUUUGAAUACACUUAGAGCAUCUCCAACAGCUUCUCCAUAAUUUCUCUAUUAUAGGGAAGCAAAAGUCAAUGCUCCAAGUAAUUUUUCUUCUACAACUCCAACAGAUUCCCUAUUUUGGAGAUUUCAAGAUAAUUCCCCAAAUCUUUCUAUAAAAUUUGGAGAAUGCUGCAGAUUUGGGGAAUUUGGGUUUCUCUUUCAUCACAUUCCCCAUUUUGGAGAAAGUUUUAGGGAAUCUGUUGGAGCAAAACACCCAAAAUCUUCUCCAAAUUGGAGAAUUUAAAGAAUUUGGGGAAGCUGUUGGAGAUGCUCUUAUAGAAGUGAGAGUUAUCUUUACCUAAGCCUCCAAAACCCUAAGCCUCCACUUCUGCCAAAACACUCGUCCGGCGGCGAUCAGAUCUGUGGUGGCCUCUGGCCUAGCUAGUCCUGGGAGUGCGUCGGAUGGGUAUUGUCAAGACUCACCCCGAAUUUCACCCUGAAACCCGAGGUAAAUCCUGCGGGGUUCACCUCCAAGGAAAAUUUACCGAAAAAUUCGGCAUAACCUCUCUUGAAAAUGGACAACCCUUCCUAAAAACACCUGCAAACACUACUAAAAUUCUAAAUCCAACCUUAAACACCUAGAGCCUUCGUGCUCCCCAAAUUCACAACACCACCCAAAUUAUUUACCAAUCCAAACUAAAUCCGAUAACCAAAAAUUCCUAUGUUCAGAGCAACUAAUAGGGAAUAAAGGAAACAAAAUAUACAAAUAAGCGGAAGCCAUAAUAUGGACUAUGCCUCAACUCCAUGUACGCUCGACCUCAAUUAUGCAAUCCUGUAAACUGGGCAUUUAAAACCGAAGGGCCCAGGGGAAAACAUUUGAAAAUAUUAAGAGUGAGUGGACAAAAAUAAAGUUUAAAAGAAACAAGUCUUUAUGCUUUCCCAUUUGAUCAACGAAUAAUUCAACUAUGCAUGCAACACCUGAUGCUCACCAAUAAUACUUCAAAAGAGUAAAAAUGACGAACCAAUCCCAUUGGUUCGAAUAGAUCCAAGAUAUUAGAAAAGGGUUUCACCAUAAAGAUGAGCCUCCCAAGAUAAGGUCGGAGCCUCCCAAACUCUAUUAAUAGCGUCCCACGCUAAAAGCUAGCUAGCAAUAAUAAUAUACAACAACCCUUAUACAAUGAAAUAAGAAGAUCAUAUAGAGCUCACAAGAUAAAUAUCUCGGCCCACUCGAUAGAGCUCACGAGAAAGGUAUCCCGGCCCACUAGAUAGAGCUCACGAGAUAAGUAUCCCGGCCCACUAAACCAAGCAAUGUAACAAUACUCAAUGACGUGUCCUAGACGUCAAAAUAUACUCGAAUCUAUGAUUGAGAAGUACCGAAAAUCCCAUUUUCGGUAACCUUUUACAAAUCUCAAUGUUGACAAAUAAAAACGAUAAUUAUAGAGGAGAUAUUUAAUAAUUUAAUUGUCGCAUGCAAUUUAUUCAAAAUUGAAAGUCCACUCACAGUAUUAGGCCUAAGCCUUCCAAUGCUCGGGAUACUCCUCGUGCGCUGCCUCUAACUAUUCACACUCUAGCCAAUCCCACAUCUAAUAAUAAAUAGUAGAACAAAUUGAUCAGACCGGACUCCGAAAUAAUCAUUGACUCGACUUCUUAGUUUGAUUAGGAUUUCCUAGGUUGACUAGGAUUGACCAAGUUUGACCAAUUGACUUAGGGUUGGCCAACUAACAAAGUUUCGAUCUUUUCCAAUUUAACCUUUGACUUAACGAUUCGAUUCAAAUCCCACUAUACGUCCUACUAACCGAUAGACACUUAUGCGUCGCUUAAACACUCAUUUUGGUGAACCUUGAUUUUGAUUAAUCAACUGAUGAAAUUUCAAGGACUCAAACAUACAGAAAACAUUAAUCUGGAAAACCCAUUAAAUUUACUAAGGGCACCCAAAAGGGUUUCCAUAAAUAGAAAGUUUCCUAGAAUAGAAACUUUCCUCACUUAGAAAAAUUUCCGAUUACAACCCGCCAAACUUUCCUUUUCCUAGAAUGACAUAAAACGAAAUGGAAGCAUCAAUCACUACCUCAACCGCUACUGCCAGAUCUGCCGCUCGCCAGACUUCGGUGAUUGCCGGAAAAUGGCCAUAGGUUCCCCGUACAAUCUGAUUCACCUAGUUCUCGACAAACAACCAAAGAGCUAAAUCAAACAUCAACCAACCACAACAUAACAACAACAACACAGAAGCUUCACAACUUAACACUCACCUUCAAUCUGCCAAGCAUUGAACCCAAGAACUUUCUCCUUGCCGGAUUUUCUAAGGUAAGCAGCAUAACGAUCAAGUCAGUCUUCAUACAUCAACCCAAAUUGUUUUGGCCACGAUCCUCAACAGGGGUAGAGAGGUAACUUGUGCUACCAAAAAGUAAAUUAGGGUUUGCAGGGUGUGCCACCGCGCGGACGCGGAACGAGAACGGUGCGCGUUCUUGACUUCUAAUCAGGCGAAGUAGAGCUCCGGUGUCACCUCGCGGGCGAGGAAUUACGAGCAAGCUAUCUAGUCACCUGUGAAUCGAUACUCACUAUUUGAAGCGAGCAGAGCAACAAUUGGGAAAGAGAGACGAGUCCAGACGGGAUCUGAGAUCUAAGGCGAGGUGCACUUAGAACUUAGGGUUUCAAGGAUGCUUGAAGAUUUGCAAUUGUUUUGUAUGAUUGAUUGUCUGUCUUUAAACCAGAUCCUCGAACUCUCUUAUAUAGCGAUCCGUAAGCAAUUCGCAGAGACCUAAUCACAACUCCAUUCGGACUCAACAAUUAGAAUUCCACCAGGAAACUACUAGCUCGCGAGCCGCGCGAUCCAUGCAACACGUGUCCAAAACAAACUUCGCCUAGGUCCCGCUCACCUCCCCGCAUCAUAUCACUAUAGCGUCCUACGCGAACUCGAACACUAAGCGAUCCUAUCCCGCGGGUACUACAGUCCAUUUCCUACCUCGCCAUGCACUGUAAGAACAAAGGAUCCCGCGAGGACAUCGAAUCCCGCGAGGUAUCAGAAUCUUUGCAAAACUCCAACUCGCGUGUUGCCAGACUUCGCCACCCUUCGUGGGCUUCGCAUUAAAAAAUUGCCACAGGUACUGGCCCAAAUGUUAUCCAAAACCUACCCCGAGUCUUGGACCAAAAAUACCCAUUGGGCUCAAACAUUGCCCCCUAGGCCUUGAGCUUAAUCCAUUUCGCAACGGAUAAGCGAAAAGGCCUAAAUGAGCCAUUUACGGGAAUUCGUAAUUCAAAAGGUGCUGACGUUUCGGCAUCGUCGCCUCCCUUCAUCAUUGCGGCUGUUUGAAAUUUGAAACGUGCUGACGUUUCGGCUGUCAUCGCGUCUCCUCAUUACGGCUACAGAUUGAAAAGACGUUACGGUCCGUCUCCUUUAUAAACCUUGAUGCGGGUCCCCUUUCUUCUCACCAUCGCUUUCCAACCAGUCUUCUCCCUUUCUUCUGCAACCAACCAAACUUCGCCACCGGACUCACUCCGACCAGAAACAAUGGCUCCCAAACCAACUGCUAAUGAUCCAAACCUUAACCUCACGGCGGCGAGCUCUUGGUCAACCGGCCUCGCUCGUCGUUUUGCCAACAACCCUCCUCAAGGAACACCGAUUUAUUUCCUUGAAACAGGGGAAGCCCUGCUCCGUCCGACUCCUUCACAACCUCCAUCCGCCGCUGAUCUGAACCACUAUACCGCCUCUGUGCGCCGACCAAUCCUUGCCCAACGUCGUGAGCCGGGAAACUUUGCCUCCUGGUUCCACCAAGCCCGCUCUCACACAAAUAUCCGGGUCGGGGAAUGGCCCAGCGUCACCGCGGAGGACCGGGCAUGGUAUGCGGCUCGCCUCCAGACCGAUCAAGCGAUUUGGGAAGCAACCGGCAUCAGCGAAGCCAUUGCCUUCAGCUUCUCACUGCCUCCUCAUGCUGAUCGAGCACCCAUCGCUGCCGCGGCCUGCUUAUGGAACAGUGCCACCAACACUUUCGAUUUUCCUUUCGGGGAAAUGGGCAUUUCUCUGCUGGACAUCCUCGCCAUCACUGGGCUGCCGAUCCAUGCGAAGCCAUAUGCGCCAGGCGACUUUGCAUCUACCGAGUUUACGCAUUCCUGCAACCUGAAAGGCUCGUAUGGAGUAUGGAGGAAGUUCUACAUCGGCCAUGCAGAACAACACGAAGGAGGUAUCGCUUUCCUUGAGUAUUGGCUUGAUAAAUUAAUAUUUUGUGGCAGUGCUCACAAACCUACAGGGAAAUGGAUAAAGCUAGCCGAGGCACUCUACAAUGGGAUCGAAGUAGGGCUAGGGCAGCCCGUGCUAGGCGCGCUCUACCGGACCCUGCACAUGCUGUCCCUAAGACCCUUCCAUCUCUCUGCUGGCCCUCUGUGGAUCCUGGAUUUAUGGACGCAGCUGUACUUCCCGCUCUUCCGGCGAGCCCCGCUGGAAUUUCUGCCCGAGGACCAACUGCUCGGCUUCGCGGUGUGCAGGAACGCUGCGAACCGGACUCCCCUGUCCUUCUUCGCCAGCCUCUCCAUCCUGUACAACCAACUCAAACCGCCUCCCACCAUAGACAUGAUGGUUCGCCGGCGCCAUCCUGAAGUCUUAUCAACGGGAUUCUUCCCUCGCUCUGACUCAGACUCUGACGCCAAGACCGUCUUCAUGAGAGCAUCCUCAUGCUGCGACCUUCAGCUCACCGAAGAUGAACAAGGCUUCGAGCUGUAUGCCCCCAACCACUUCGCCAGACAACUUGGCUUCUCUCAAGGGAUCCCCUAUCCACUUUUCCAUUCGGUGAACAAGAACACCUCCUGGAGGAAGAUUGGCGAGUCCGACCGGGUCACCCCGCUGCAGAACAUUUUCCCUCUCACUCCUGACUUGCUGGAGAUUGAGCCUUCGCUGGGUGUUGACCCCGCUUACCUCUCUUGGUGGCGAUCCUUAUCCGACAACCAUUGGGGGUUCCCAGAUGAUGCUGUCUUCGCUGCCAUCUUCAUCCUCUGUACGACACUCUGGGCAAGUCAGACCGCGUCAUUCUUGACGCCCAGCGCGACCGUGAAGAGGGUGGUUCAAAGGCUGCGACAGGGCCUAGGCCUGCGCUCCCACCAGUUCCCGCUACUCGUCGCUCGACGGGGAUCGUCAUUCGAGAACGCGACCCCGCACCCGAGGUAUGCCACUAACUGUGUAAAUUUCGAACCGCCUUUAUCACUUCGACGAAAUACUUCUCCCUAACUCUCCUGUCUAUCUUUACAGUCUGCCCCCCGCCGGAGAACUAUCAGAAGACCUGAGGGAGCUGGAGACAAAGGAAAAGCACCUGCUCAAGAGGAACCCGCGGCGGACCAUGACAGUGAGACUGCUCCCGUCAUUCCUCGGCCAACAAGCGGCGAAAGCUCGCGGAAGCGCCCUGUUGAGGACGAAGAAGAACUGCUAGAGGAUGAGCGAUAUCGGCAAGAGCACGCUUUGGUAAGCGACCUUCCUUCGAACCAAACUACAUCAAAGCCAACAAACGAUAUGCUAACUUUGUAUUUGACAGGUUCGCCGCCGCAUCCGACCUCGCCUCGCUGUCAAUGAAGGAGCAACAGCGAUAGUUGAAGUCCCAGCCCCGGAACCAAUCGUCGGGGAUCAAACCAUGGUUACCGAGGAAGUCGCCGUGCGACCCCCUCCUCCAACCGACGCUCUAGGCGAAACUGGCCUGCCUCCAGAGCCUACCUCGGCUCCUGCUCAAGAUGAAGAUUUCGGCCAGACCACCCGGCUUUCUGACUUCGCUGCCCCUUCAGCGGUUCCUCCAGAGGACUUCCAACCGGUGCUUGAGCCCUCUCCCCUGCAACCAGAUUCAACGGCUCAGACCAACGAAGAACCGAUAGUCCCCACUCGGUCUAAGGUCCCCCCGCCCGUUCAAGAGAUUGAGGCCGUUGCAGAGGUUGAACCAAUCACUCCGGCCCCAACUAGGACAUCUGGCGAGGCGGCUUCUUCUUUGGCUACCCGGACCGCUCGUCUUCGGGCCCGGAUUACCCCGCCUGCUGAUCCAGAGCCCAUUCGCCUAGCCCGGGCUUUCUUUCACGGGCUACUGCGCCAAGGUCCCCACAUGAACGUAUUCGAUUUGGUGAGGCGCGUCCGCGAGGCCCAUGAAGCUCUGACUCGGCACCUCGCUGGCAGCAACCCUGCUCUAGACCAUGUGUUGGAACUUACCGACGCUGUCGAGCUGCAGGCUCGCCGAGUUCAAGAUGUCGGUGCCCAGUCGGCCGCUCACGAGAAAGUCCGCGAAGCCUUAGACCAUCAGAUGGCAGCCCUUUUAGCCUAGCUUGAUGACGCUGAAAUCCCUGAGGCAUUGUCAGAGAACCCAUGCACUGUCUAUGCUCGGCAAGUGGAGGACCUGGAGGCUCAGAUAGCGGAGCUGCAAGCUCAGCUUGCUCAAGCUCGCCAGAACCUGGCCCAAGCUGAAGAGGCAGAAACCCGUGUGCAGGCCGCGGAAGAGACCCAGGAAGCUUUGGACUCGGCUGCUGCUGCUGCUGACGAAGCCCAAGCCCAGGCAGAUGUUGAAGAGUUGGCCUUAGAAGGCCUUCUCAUAGAUUUGUAUAGGGCUUCUAGGCGGGUUUAGGCCUGACCACCGCUUUGCCCCCUUUGUACGAACCUUUUAAAUAUUAUUAUUAAAUUAAAUCUUUCCCGCUCUUGUCAAUUCUUGUGUAAGAACUGCCUUUCCAGGAAAAAAUCUUUUUCCAAGAUUUGGUAGGGGUUUCCAAUGCAACUACUCGCUUGGAACGCGGGUAGUCAUUAUGGAACAACGCGUCCGACCUUAUCUCCAAAGUUCGUAUCUCGGAGCAAAUCGCUGCAUGGAGGACAUCUGUUGAAAGGAAAAUCACCCUACUCGCCUAUAAAAAGAAACGCUUGGCCGGGGCGAAGUACCAGUUAAGUCUCUGCCCCCUUGCCAUGGGCUCUUAUACCCUUCUGUUCAUCCUCUUGUCCCUUCUUAAAGCAAAGCCCCCGCCUCACAUUUUCACUCUUCAUUUUUUUCUGAUUCUGAAAAUCUACUCUCAGGCCGGGAGUGAUUCUGAAAAUCUACUCUCAGGUCAAGCCUUUGUUUGGACGAGCUAAUGGUUGAGUACCUUCUGCCUUGCACCGGCUGUUCUGUCCAAACGUGAGGCUCUCGAGGCUCCGCAUCCGCUUGCGCUUCAGGUUCUGGUCAGUGCAUUUCAAGCACCUUCCAGGCGUGACCGGUAGCAUGAGGGACCCUGGUCCAGUGGACCUCUAGCUUCCCAACAAUUUGUCUUAGGUCCGGGCCGGUGUCAAGGCUCGUGCUGGUCUAAAGAAGCGGGACGUUUGCCAACUUUAAACGAAGGAUGCGGCGGUAGUCUCUUCUUCAACCCUGCAAGAUAUGCGGGUUGAGGCCUCCAAUAUCUGUAGAUCUAUGCAUUCGUUCGUAAACAUAGCUUAAUUUCACCCUUUCUGUCAAUGUAGUCGCUCCGGCCGCAAAGCCGAUGUUCGAAACUUGUAUUGAAACAACGCCAAAAAGGGCAAAAUAAAUAAAUUUAUUGUUUUUUAGGGCCUCUGGAAUAGGCCCCAAUCUUGUACUUGUCUUUGCGUUUAGACUUUGCACGUUUACAGACAAUGAAGAAAAAUAGAGUUAUCCUUGCACGUUUAUAGACAAUGAAGAAAAAUAGAGUUAUCCUUAUUUAGGGCCUCUGGAAUAAGCCCCAAUCUUACACUGGCCUUUUUAGACUGGUAUGUUACAACGUACUCUAUCAGUCGUCUAUCCCGGAUUGCCCCCUAGUGUUAGGCGGCGGAGCGAGAACGCGAUGGCGCGUAGCACUAUUGACUGUGGUGACGGGGUCUAGGGGAGGUGGAGGAUCCUCGCGUUCCCAAAUUCCUGCAAUGUGGCGCUUGAGGAAGCGGCCAUUAAUAGGAUUGCGAUGAAUGGUACCGUCCAAGUCGCGCAAGUGGUAUGCCCCCUUGGGAAGUAUACGAUGAAUAAUAAAGGGGCCUUCCCAUUGAGCGGACCACUUGCCCAGACCGUCGGUUUUGUCCCCAAGUGGGAGUACCACGCGCCACACUUUCUGGCCCUCAGCAUAGCUCCGUCCGCGCGUGACCUUAUCAUACGAACGGGCGAUGAGUUGUUUUUCGAGGACGAGAUUGUUGAAAGCGGUGACGCGGUGCUCGUCAAGAUCUUCAAGCUCCUGCCACAUGGCUUGGACGUAAUCCUCGCCAAGUAGUUGGUGCUGUUCCUGAACGUGGAGUGAAGCGAUAUUAAUCUCAAGGGGAAGGACGGCAUCAUGGCCGUACAUGAGAGCGUACGGAGUGGUAUCCGUUGGGCCGCGCUUUGAAGUGCGGUAAGCCCACAAGGUGUGGUAGAGUUCCGCAUGCCAGACACGCGGGUUCAACUCCAACAUCUUGCGGAGGAUGCCAAGGAUGACUUUAUUACUAGCCUCUGCCUGGCCGUUGGACUGUGCAUAAUAUGGCGUAGAGUGGAGAAGUUUGAUUCCGUAGUCGUUUAAGUACUUAACAACUGAAUCAGCCAGGAAAGCUGCCCCCCUGUCCGUAACGAUGCACUCCGGGAUACCAAAGCGGGAGAUGAUAUUGCGGAAAAUAAAGUUGCGCACCGAGUUGGCGGAGGCAACCUUGAGUGGUUCGGCCUCGACCCAUUUGGUAAAGAAAUCGGUGGCGACGAUAAUGAACUUAUGCUGCUCAAAAGAAUAGGGAUGAAUGAUGCCAACGAAAUCUAUCGCCCAACCGCGACCCGGCCAAGGUUUAAUGAUAGGCUGCAACGGGAUGUUGGGAAUAUGUUGCACUGGUCCGUGAGCCUGGCAGUCUUGGCAACCUUUGGCGAAGGCAAUACAGUCUUUCAGAAUGGUUGGCCAGUAGUACCCGUGGCGACGGAUUAACCAACGCUUUUUUGGCCCGGCCUGGUGCGAACCGCAAACUCCACAAUGGACUUCGUGCAUGAUACGUUUAGCUUCGUUCCCAUACACGCAGCGGAAAUCGUUUCCGUCUUCCCCACGCCGCCGGAGUUCGCCAUUGCGUAAAACAAAGUUUAAGGCGAGGAAACGUAUUUGUCUGGAGUGAGCGGCGUCGUUGGGGUUCUAGAGGUAGGCGAUAAAUGGUAGCCGCCAAUCCUCGUCGAUAGGGUCCAAGGCCGCAACUUCGGGGGUGUCGGCCUGAAAUUGCCCCCUAGCGAUGAAAGAAGGAAGCGUGCGGCGUUCGACUUUGAGCAAACGUUCGCGCACGCCGUCGCGCAGGCUGAGACCGGACGCUACUUGGUCGAGCUCGUUGGCGGCGAAGUUGAACUCACGGGGUAUGUGCUCGAUGUAGACGUCGUCUGAUCGGUCCAACACCUCAAAUGCCUUGCGCAGGUAUGGCUCAAUGGACGAGCUUAAGCACUUAAACUUUUCCACCAGCUGGUUAACGACCAACAAAGAAUCACCAAAGAUUUGAACCUUGCGGACUCCUAAAUCCAACAAAAUCUCUAGGCCGAUGAUCAGCACCUCGUACUCAGCCUGGUUGUUGGUGCAUUUGAAAUCGAGCUGGAACGAGUAGGAGAAGCGAUCUCCAGCGGGAUUGGCUAUGGCUAUCCCGGCUCCGGCCGCGGUAUCAGUUCGUGAACCAUCAAAGUACAGGGUCCAUGGAGCGAGUGUCACGGUAGCGAAUUCCAACUCGCAAAACGCCGUGAGCUCUGAAGGUGGGUGAUGAGCGAGAAAGUCUGCUAUUGCCUGUCCUUUUACUGCCUUUUGCGGAACAUAUUGCAACGAGAAUUCGGACAUGGCUAAGAUCCACUUGCCGAUGCGUCCCCGCAGGAUAGGGCGGGAGAGCAUGUAUUUGACCAGGUCGGAUUGAGCGAUCACAACCGUGGUAAAGGCAAGCAUGUAAUGGCGCAGCUUGCACCCUGCAAAAUAUAAGGCAAGACACAACUUUUCCAUAGGGGAGUAUCGUGUCUCGCACUCAGUUAACACCCUGCUAAGGUAAUAGACAGCGUGUUCUACCCCGUUCACAUCGUCUUGGGCCAGGAGUCCGCCGAUGGACAAGUCGGCAGCGGCGAUAUAAAGUUUAAGCGGGGUACCGUCGCGAGGAGGGAUCAGGACUGGUGGGUUCGUCAGGUAGUCCUUGAUCCGAUCGAAGGCCUGUUGAUGUUGUGGUUCCCAGACGAACUCGGUUGCCCCCUGGAGCUUGAGGAGGGGUGAAAAAGGCUGGACCUUCCCUGCCGCGUUUGAUAUGAAACGGCGGAGAAAGUUGAUUCGCCCGAGCAGCUGUUGGAGCUCCUUUUUGGUGGUGGGGGGCGAAGCGGUGAUCACUGCCUGUGCCUUGUCUUUUGGGAUUUCGAUGCCUCUUUGAUGCACUAGGAAACCAAGGAAAUCACCGGCCUCCGCGAAGAAAACACACUUGGCGGGGUUCAUCUUCAGGUUAUAUCGGCGCAUCCGUGUAAACACCUGCCGCAGGUCCUCAACAUGGGUUGCCCGUGUUUUGGUUUUGACUACCACGUCUUCGAUGUAUACUUCGAUCAACUUCCCCAAGAUGUCAUGAAAGAUGAGGUUCAUGGAGCGCUGGUACGUUGCCCCCGCGUUUUUAAGUUCGAAAGGCAUGACAACAUACUCGAACGCGCCGGCAAACCCAGGGCAUCGGAAAGCGGUCUUGUGUCGAUCUUCCUCAGCGACGGGAAUCUGAUGGUAUCCAGUCGUUCCAUCCAUAAAGGAUAACACCUUGUGCCCCGCGGCGGCAUCAAUGAGUAGGUCAACCACAGGCAUGGGGUAUAUAUCCUUCGGUGUUGCGUUGUUUAGGUCGCGGUAAUCAACACAGACACGCAUCUUGCCAUUUUUCUUGCGAACGGGGACAACAUUGAACAGCCACUCGUUAUACUUUGCCACGCGAAUGAUGCCCGAUCGGUGCAUGCUUUCGAUCUCCUCCUUGACUACGAUCUGAGUCUCAGUUCGCAUGAAUCGGCCGUCCUGCCGUACUGGACGUCAGUCGGGAUAAGUUGAUAACCGAUGGCAGACCAAGUCCGGGGAAAAGCCGGGCUUGUCUUCGUAUUUGUCGGCGAAGCAAUCCCUGUAUUCGCGUAACAGGACCAGAAGGGCUUCCUUUUCGUCUUUUGCCAACUUAGCACUGAUAGAAAUAAGUAAGGGCUUUUCUGCAGUCCCUACGUCAACUUGUGAAAUGGGGUCGCGGACUUGAGGUGGUGUGUCGUCCAAGGCGGCGGGAGCUAAGUGAAUAACUUCCUCCUUGGUAUCGGAAUAAUCCACAACUUAAUCUACAUAUUCCAUAGUCGCGACCUUGUCGUAGGCUUCGCGUUCUGCCCAAUACGAAAGGAGUCUUUCGUACAAGGACUCGCCAGCCUCGCAUGCCUCCUCUGAGAAGGCACUAUUCAUCAGAACGGGGUGUGGGAUUCGCGAUGGUGUGAGGACGUUGCAAAUCGUCCUUUGCCUGGGUAAGUCCCCAUCGCGUUGGAUUGGAAGCCGUUAUUCCAUAUGGGCGGCCUUUGUUAUCGACGCCUUGAACAUCCAACGGACCCAAGUCUGUAGUAUAAUAUCAGGCAUCAUUGAAGUUGGCGGAUAUAGAGAAUGGCCGCGGGUCGGCUUUGAUGAUGACUGCUUCACGGUUCUCGGUGUCCCAAAUCAUGAGUUCUUGGUGCAUGGAGGAAGGCACGCAGAAACUUCUGUGGAUCCAAUCUCGGCCAAGAAUCAUGUUGUAGGAGGAAGUGCAUUUAGCGACGAAAAAGGUGUAAACCCGUGAUGCCGGCCCUACCUUGACCCGUAGAAAUAGCAAGCCUAGGGUUCUGGACACUUGCCCGGUGAAGUUCUUGACUGUCAAGGACGUGGUUUGGAUCAUCGAGCGCGGGAUGUCUAGGAGUCCCAUGGUACGGGUUGUGACAACAUUGACCGCUGCACCGGUAUCGACCAUGACUUUGUUUAUCAUCUUUCCUUCGACUUCGGCCGUGAUAUACAGUGGCCGCAUGUGAGUGACCAUGUCCAAAGUUGGUGUGGAGAAGGUUAGAGUUUGCUUAUGCUUGAUGCUGCUCGUAAUUUCCACCUGUGGGGCGUCGUCGGCCUGUACCGGAACUGGGCCCAUUUCGCUGCUGCAUGGCGGGGGUAUGCUACUGACAUCCUCGCUGCAGACGGGAAUAUCCGCCGCACUGCAAGUUGUGUUCGGUGGAAGGGCGUAUCUUUCCGAAAUGAAGAACACCAUCCCGACUUGAAAGGAGAAUUGUUCAGGGACUAGGACCAAGGGAGUGUCAAUGAUCCCGUGUUCCCCGCAGAGAACUGCGAAAGCAUCUGCUUCGCGGCUAAACCCUUCAUCAGCACCCCAUUCUGAGACCUCUACCAUAUUACAGGUGAAUGAUUCUGCCUGCUCCUCGUCUCGGUCUUCCUCUAGGUUAAGUCGAGGUUCUGAAUGUGCCUCGUCGUCUUCUGAAUUCUCGCGGAAACCCUGGGCCAUUUGUUGGGCGAGGUUAGGACUGGAGGGCGCCUGUGCGGCUAUUGGUGGCUCUUGAGCCUCGGGUUGCCGCGGACGCCAUACUGACUUGGGUGAAGGCUGGUGGUCCUUGGCGGGUUGUUUGUCUGUUGCCAAAGGAGCCUUAUCGCUGUCUUCCUUUUUCAACCGUUGUAGGGCGGAUACUCGGGGAACCAUCUGAGUCUCGGGCUCCAGGGUGGACCGUGUCCGAGGCUGGUGUGGUGGUGGUGGCUCCCUUCUGAUAUUGGCCUCCGGAUUUUGACGUUCCCGUUGCUGUAAGGGCUAAGACGGUUCGCGUUUGGACUCUGGGUCCGGGGUCGUGAACAGUUUACGCCUAGGACCAGUAGGCGGGUCCCUUCUCCGCUAGGGCUCCGGUGACGGCCUGCUCCUGGAAGGCUGUUGAUCCCUCCUUUGUUCAGGCUCUGGUGACGGUUUGGGCCUAGCAAGCUGUGGAUCCUUUCUUCUUUCAGGUUCUGGUGAUGACCUGCGCCUGAAAGGCUGUGGAUCCCUUCUUCUUUCAGGUUCUGGUGAUGGCCUGCGCCUGGAAGGCUGUUGAUCCUGCUUUGGUGGGACCGUGAGUCGGCAAAAGACGUUUGCUUUGGGUGCAGGCUCGUCGCUGAAUUGUUCGCAAAUCCUUGGGGGUGUGACAGGCGGCAUUUGAAGGAAUGCGCACAAACCCUCUGCUUCCCUCGACAUCCGUUCAGGCGUCUGUGCGAGCUGUGAGGGGCGUACAGCACCCUCUUCGACAGCCCGUAAGGCACGUAGGAUAUUACCGUAUCGCUUCUUAGACCUGCUGAUGGUGACUGCCUUGCCCCCCUGCUGUGUGUACCAGACUCCAUCUUUGAUUGCGGAUUUGGACGUCGGGGGAAUAUAGGGGUCGGUUAGGACGCCUUUACGAGGGCUCGAGGCCUCGUUGUUGUGACGCUCACCGCUGGAGUCUGACAUGUNNNNNNNNNNNNNNNNNNNNAAGACACCAAUGCUCCUGAGUGUGACUCCAGGGCCGCCCGGCGAGGGUAGACGGGGUGGCGUCUUUGACGAACUGGCCCCCAAUGUGAAUUGGGGAGUCUUCUGGGCCCCGACCCUUGGAUUUCCUCUAGGGCGUUCAUUAGGUGGAAUAUACCUUGAGCCUUCAGUUGCACUUGAACUAAUAGCAUGAUUCUUUGGCGCCUGCGACCGCAUCCAGUCUUCCACUUGCAGGACCCUUAAGCUCAAGUUAUCAUGUUGCUCCUUGUAGUCCUCAAGCUUUUCCAUGCUAUUCUUACUUCCAAAGAAAGAAGCGUCCUGCUAUUGUUGUAACUUGGUGUCGUUCUUUGACUAGGUCAACCCCCUCUUUACCUUUUAGGCUUAAACCAACAGUCAAGAUUUAAAACCUAGAUCCUAUGACCAGAUUAAAAGUUAUACUCUAAUUUCAGAAAAUUAAUUUAUUUUACCAAAUCUUUAAUAAAUCGAAGAAAAUAACUCGAAGCUCCAACAAAUAAUCCGAAAACGCCGGAGAACUUGUGUCAACACAAACUACGACAUCGUCACCUUAACAAAAGGAUUUGACAUUUCGAGAAAACUUGAGAAUAAACUAGUGUUAACUUACUAAGUUACCGAGCAUAGUUAAAUUUCUCAGUAACUCGUAGAAUUCCCAGUAAAUAGGUAAAAUUGGGUACGGGGCAUUACAGGUAUCCUGUAACAUCCCGGAAUUUUGAAUUUCUAUUUUUAAAAGGAAAAUUAUUUUCAAGUUCUUAUCAUUUCAAUUUAUAUUAUUCUUCAAAUUCUUUGUGGUUUUUAAAAAUUAUCCAAAGUUUGUCUUUUGAUCUCAUAGGAUUAAUCUAGACGUCGUUACGAGUUCGUAGGUUUUUACAGAAUAUCGUUUGGACAUUAGAGCUAUUUUUAAUGAUUUUUGGAAGUUAGUAUUAUCCAAAAAUUAAAUUAAAAAUAGAAAUUUGUGGUGGCUUGAUUUGGGCUGUUGGAUUGUUUUAAACCGUCUAAUCUGUGCCGUUGGAUUAGAGCAUAUACAGGUCGGAGUGGAUCAGUCCAGACGACAGCCCAGACCGACCCCGUCUCGAGCAGCGGUGGAGCUCGGUCGCUCCGUCCGUCAUCCGGCGGUCUCUCGGCUUCCAACCGGUGGCCACGGCUUCGGCUUGUCGUCCCCAACGUGACUGUGAUGUUGUUUCUCCAUGGGAAGCUUCGGUGAGAGAGAAAAGAAGGAGAGAAGGUGGAUGUUUUUCCGAUCGGCUUUCCGAUUCCGGCGACGGCGAGGAGAAAGAAUGCUAGCGGCAGCUUCCUCUCGUCCUCGUCCUCUUGGUCAUGUCCAUGCCCUUGAAUUUCAGAUAAGAAGUCUGGAGUGAGUGAUUCGAAGUGGAGAAGGAGAGGCUGGGUUCGCCGGCGAGUCUCCGAUUCCGGCAGCGUCGACGCCUCUCACCGGUGUGGAUAGCUUUGUUUCCUCAUCCUCGACGUCCCUGUAACUUCAGCUUGUCGAGACGAGGUCAGGUGAGGGAGAAUCGAAGAGAAGAAGUUUUGGGAUUUUCCGGCAAGCGUUCGAUGUUUUCCGGCCACCGGCGAAGGCAAGCGAGGUAUCAAUCUUCAUCUACUCGUCGAGCUUUACAUGUUUCUAUAAUUGAAAUUGAGUUUGGAUUGAGUUUAGAAGAAUUUGGAUUUGGGCAGUGUGACCACCGUGGGUGGCCACUGUGCACGGCGGCGGGAGAGGCGGUUAUUCUUAUUGAUUUCCAGCUUUAUUGUCUUGAAUCUGUUAGAGUGAUUUGAUAUGCUUGGAUUCGAUUUUAGUUGUGAAUUGAAGAAAUUGGUUGAGUGAAGUGGUGUUGGCAGUGGCGGCGGCAGCGGUGAUGAUUUUAGAUUUUCUGUUCAUAUCAGGUUACCGUGUUUGGUGUUGAUAGCAGUUGUGAUGGUAUCGUUGUGAGUUUUGAAGAUGAAGUUAAGAAUUUGUGAGGUUUAGAGAUUAUAAGGUUUCUGUUCAACUCCUUUUGCUGGUCUUGGAGAUGUUUUAGAUGUUGAUCAGUUUUAUUAAUCUUGACAGAAACUAUAGAGCAGAAAUCAGUAUUGGUUGUACUUGAAGUGCGGAAUUAGAGGAGUUUGGUGAUGAUGGAGACGUUGGGGUUGUGUACUCUGUUAGUACUUAGUUCGAAAGUUCAUCCACAUGUUUUGGUAUUUUGAGAGCUGUGCUUUUAAUAUAAUGAAUUUGCUCAAGGGAGUUUUAAGAGCAUGCAUGUUUGAUCGGAGAUAUAGUCUUGACAUUAAGAAUUGAUUAAGUGAUGCCUAAGGAUGGAUUGAGAAUUGGUGUCCUUAAUGUGAGGACUAAUAUAGUUCAAAGCUUUUGGGUGUCCUUAGUAAAUUUCAAGGACUUGAUCGCAUUGAUUUGAAGUGAUUCGUCGACAUUCUUGGAAUGAGGAUUUGAUACGAGGAUCGAGUAACUAUCGACAUUCCAGGAGCAGAAGGAUAAGGAUUUCAGUAAGUGUGUCGCAGUGUUACUAAUUUUAGCUAGCGUUGGAAGUAGCGCUUGGAUUCCAGGUAGGGUCUCUCUCGGGGAACCUUUCUUAAAUUGAUAAUUAGAUUAUAAUUGAAAUGAGUGUUUGUGUGGCAUUGAUUGGUUAAUUAUUGAUUGUUAUCGUAUUUGAUAAAGCAUGUGUGAUCGUUGAUUUAUAUGAAAUUGAUGUUAUUGCUUUUCAUUAAAAGCAUGAGUUAAAUAUUGUAAUGCAAGUAUUGUUAAUUGUUGCAUACAUUAUGCAUUGUGAGGAAAUGUGAGGAUAGUGAGAAUGGUGAUUAUGGAGAAGAAUGAGAUUGAUAGAAUAGAUAUAUUUUGUGUAGUUGAGUUUCCUCAUGGGUUGUCCAAGAUCCAGGGUAGCCCACACGUGCAUAAAUAUGGGGAAAGUAUGCCCCUUCGAUGGCGGACAUCGAUAAAACGAUCUUAUCGGGUUUCGGGUUUGGAGACCAUGAGUAUAACAAGACGACUAACAAAAGAGGUACAGGCGGUGAGAUAUUAUUGAUUGUUAAAUCAUAUAUUCGAGGCAUUUAAGUCACCCCCGGUUGGUAAAAUACACGGUAUGAGACAUGUAGGGUCACCUGUCUUUGAUGUAUGGACUGAUAGCCAGUAAUUGAGGAAGUCAUUCAUUCAUUAGCAUACAUGCAUCGAAUUGUCAUUAUUUAUUUUAUUUAAAGUAUUGUUUGUUUUUUUGUUAACUUGUUUGGGCGACGUAGUUAAGUAUAACCUAAAAAAGUUAGGCCCUACUGAGCUUAAGCUCACCCCUAUAGAUUUUUGUUCAGGUACUACGAGACUCGUCUUUUGAGAAGACUAACUGUGAAGUUUAGCUGACGUGUUCGAGAGUUUAGAAGAGUUACAGAAGAUUAGAAAUGAGAUAGAUCGCAAGGCCUGCCUGUUUUGUCUUUGUAAUUGUUUUUGCUAUUGUAAACGUUUUAUUUUCUUUUAUUUCAAGAAAAGUAUUUGAAAUUGUUUUAUUUUCUUUUACUUUUUUCGCUCACGCCUCGGGUUUGGCGUCAGGUGUUUGGAAACCACCGACACCGGGUCCGGGGUGUGACAUAUCUUAUUUGAUUUCAAUCAUGGAGCAAGUCUGAUCUGAGCAAAGUUGAGGGGUUUCAAGCUGUCAUGGUUUCUGAGUAAGGAGGUGUCGACACAAGCAAGGGUGACUCAGCUAGAUCUCGCAACCGGUAUCAAUGGUGUGAUCCGUUUUUGGCGUAGGGUUUUGGGGUGGUUUCCGUUUGGAGCCCGCCGACUUCACGUUGUCAUCGAAUCGAGGACCUAUGUAGGUGCGUGCUGCUGAGAGAGAGGGAGGAGUCUCAUGGUUAUGGGGUUUGAAGAUGAUGGGUGGCGAUGUGGCGGGGUUGCGACAGAGUUCUGGUUGUAGUUGCAAUUCGACAAUGGCGGCGGCACGACGGUUUUGAUGGUGGUGAAUGGUCUGGUGGCAACUACAAACUUGGGUAGAACCUUUUUGGCCUUGCUUCAUUGGUUUUGCUCUAGUCCUAAUAUGUCAUGGGCCACUACUGGAAAAAGUCAUUUAGGAGACGGAAUAGUUUCAUCUCCUAAGUAACAAAAUUCGUCUCCUAAGUACUUAGGCGACGAAAUAUCCGUCGCCUAAGUGAUGUGAGGCAGGUGUUAGGGCGACGAAAAAUUGAGUUCCGUCGACUAAGAAUUACUUAGGCAACAGAAUUUUUUCCGUCUCCUAAGUACUUAGGCGACAGAAUUUUUCCGUCUCCUAAGCACUUAGGCGACGAAUAUUGUUUAAUGACAAAAAAAUUAUUUUUCUCCUAGGUGACAGAAUUAUUAGAUUCCGUCGCUAAGUCUGAAAAAAAAAAAUUUUUAAAAAAAAAAUUGACAUCCUCUGCCCAAAUACCACAGCCGAUCCGACAAAUCCCAGCACAGAUCCGACAAAUCCCAACAUGAAAAUAUGGUCCGAUCAUGAAUCAGUCCUAGCUAGUCUCUCCCUCAAAUCAACCACCUAUUUCUUUCAAUCCAAACCAACCUCACCUAUUUCUCUCCCUCUACUCUGUAAGCUCCGAACCCGAAUGGACCGCCACGGCCUGCUUCUCUCUCGGUUGUCAGUCCUCGCUCGCCCCCAACCGGGCCAACCCGGGAGCUGCCGCCAACGAUGACAGCGUCAUCAACCCGUGUGUCCCCGUUUGGUCUCGCCGGAAGCCUCGCCGGAAAACAACCUCGACAAACCUAAAAAAUGGCAGAAAAGGGGAUUUUCACAUUAGGGCUCCAAUCCAAAGAUUAAGACAUGAAAUUGAAGAAGAAGAGAAGAGGAAAGAAACCUUACUCACCGAAGUUGCUAUCGCUGCCCAAGCUCGCUUGAAAUCGGCGAACUCCGCCGUGCUACCUCGGCUUCGAUCUCCUUCGGGAGUGGAUAUGUCGACCUGGUGAGUAUGAGGAGAUAGAGGAGGGAAAAGUGGAUGUUUUGGUGGUGAUCUUGUGGCGUGCGGUGGCCGGAACCGACGACGCUACGCCAGAGAUGACGGCGGCAGACGGAGAGAAAGAGAGUGAGGCAUGGAGAAGAGAAGAGGGAUGGUAUGAAGAGAGAGUGAGAGAGUUAAUUUUUGGGUGAGGGUGGAGUUUUUUUAUAUGAAGAGAGAGUGAGAGAGUUAAAUUUUUUUGGGUGAGGGUGGAGUUUUUUUUAAGAGAGUGAGGGUAGAGUUUAAGUUAAAAAGAAAAUAAAAUUUUUAAAAUUUUUGGUUUGAGUUUUCGUGAAAUGUUUUGGCGGAAACGUUGCCGCUAAAAAUUUUGGUACUUAGGCGACGAAAAAUUAUACUUUCGUCGUGUAAGUAAUUAAUUAUUAUUUUUUUAUUUUUAAAAAUAAUAAUUCUAUCGCCUAAGUAAAUUUUUCCGUCGUCUAAGUAAAUUUUUCCGUCGUUUAAGCUAUUCUUAGACCACGGAAUACAUUUCCGUCACCUAAGUAAUUUAUUUUUUAUUUUUAUUUUUUAAAAAAAUAAUUCUGUCGCCUAAGUAUAUAUUUCCGUCGUCUAGGAGAUUCUUAGACCACAGAAUAGAUUUUUGUCGCCUAAGUCUUUCUUAGGCUAUAAAACUGUUUUCCGUCGUCUAAGUCCCACUUAGGCUACGAAAUUAAUAUAAUUCCAUCGCAUAGGUUCUUUUUUCCAGUAGUGGGCCUAGAGUUUUUACUCUGGGCCCAAGAUGGUUAUCCCUUAGUUUUCUAAGCCCCUUUUGGGCCUCUUAAGGUUUUAAACUCGUUUUUGCUAGUUUAUUUCCAAUAAUUUUAUUUAUGUAGGUUACUAAGAAUCCUAGGUAGGUUUUGAUGCCUGGAGAUUAUGAUAUUUCUUUUACAUCUAGAUAAUGGACACUUCUUGUCGAACCGUAAUUGAGUGCCUUGGCGACAAAGUUUUCAUACAAAAUUAUCUCUAUGUAGGGUAAGAUUAUAGCUUGCUAGGCUCAUUGUCAAUGAGUGAAAAUGUACAAUGUGAUGGUAUGUGAAUCACUCCAAUCAUUUGGGGUCUGUAUCGAUGUCAUUCUAGCUGCAAAUAUUAAUGUAAUUGGUUACAGUGGUGUUCAAAUGGUCACCUAGUGACCAAGAAAUUCAUGGUCAAUCGUCGUUGGAUGUAAAUCCAAGGGUGGAAAGUAUUAUUUUAAAGUUAAGUUGUUUUGUUUUCCAUUCUUGGAUUUAUAUCUAACGGUGAUUGACCAUGAUUUCCUUGGUCACUAGGUCUAUGUGACCAUGUGAACAUUAUUGUAAUGGGUUAUAUGCCCGCCUUUGUUUCAAAAAAAAAUUAUUCUCAUUCACAAAAUGCGAACAUAUUAAUUGCGUUGUAUUAAUUAAGAAAACUAGAACAAUUUGAUUGUUUUAGAACAAGAUAAUUUCAUUACUUAUCAACAGUUAGAAGACACAUACAUCUAUUAUCGUCUUGCGCCAACUAAGCUUAAUUAUUGAGUCUACACAAUAUAAACUAGGUUAAUUUGUUGUACGUAGAAUGACAAUAAAUUUGAAUCAUGGUAUAUUCAUAUAUAGAAAGUGAAUAAGUAUGCCAAACGCAAAACCCUAACUCGGGUAGACAAGCACAAAAUCUCAUCCUUGUCCCGCGACGGCCUAAGGUUAGGCGUGUCUGUUGAUCGCGUCAACGCCGGAUGGCUUUGAUGUCGGAUAAACUAUAUGAUAGAAACUUAUUGCUCUAAGAGAUAAUUGACUAGAAGUUCUUAACAGCUUUUGAUCAUUGUGGCUUUUUUCAAUCGUCUCAAAGAUGAGGUAUAAUGAAAAUCGGCUCAAGAGGUACAUCUGAAUCCAUCUUCCUAAACGGUGGUGACGACACUCCGUCCUUGUUCUUUUCAGAGGCGGAGCUUCGGGUUAGAGGUGGUGUUGUUAGUCCCUAUGUUUGUGGCGACGAUGGAACUUUCAUGCGGUGGUGUGCUUGCGGCUGUAGGAUACGACGGUAAGAAGCGACGCUUCACGGUGGUGACUGGUAGUCGGUUUUAUUCCGCGUCUUGCCAGCAACAGUGAAGGAAGGCUGGGGGUAGGUCAACUGUUCUAGGCGUAGGUUUAGUUCUUUUUUGGAGUUUGGGAUGCUAUUUUUCUUUUCCUAGUUAUCUACUUACAAUAAUUUCCUUGCACUAAGAACCUACACGCUCGUGCCUCAUGCGCCUCUUGGCGUUUGAGUAUAUUUUCCAUGAUAGUCUAAGUAUCAAUCACUAGCGUCUAUGUAGCAGUACCGAAGGAGAAUAUUCGCUCUCUCUACGAAUUUAAUUUUACAAUGAGUAGGUCUGUUUCUAUGUAUCAUUAGUGGGUACUACAACUCAACUCCUUGAUUGCUUUAAAUGGUAGUGGGAGGAUAUGUAACGGUCUAUUGUGGCUUGUGAUGAAUAUAUUGGCACCUGAUUUGGGUAUUUGAAUAUAAAAAAAUAUGUAGAAAGUGAAUAAUUCUCUAAUGUGAGAUUUAAAUUUGAAAUUCUAAACUGUAUAAGUUGUGAUCUAGAUAAGUAUGGUUGUCUUAUCAUUCCUUGUGCUAUAAGAAAUGGUAGCUCCAAUGUUUCUAUCACUGAAGCUCAUGCUGGAGAGAUGUGUGAGAGAUCAGUUGGAUACUAUAGAGUUGGAGUUAAGACUUGACGGCAACAUAUCUGUCUAGUGUGUCAACAACAACUAGUGAUAUUGCUGUGAAGAGUGCGAUUAUGGCAUUGGAGGCUCUGGGAUUGAAACAAAGGUUAUGAUAUCAAAACGAGGGGAUAUGUGGUCAAAACCGGGUAGACGUCAGUUGAGUCCUUCAAGUGAGGUUGUUUGUGCAAGCGGUGAAGUUUAGGAGGGAAGAUACUUUGGCAGAAGGCGUCGUUGGAGCAUGAUUUGCCUCGGUUUAAUUCCUGUUGUUUCCAAAGGAGAUGUGUUGGGCUUAUAAUCGGGUAGUGAGGUUGGCUGCAUUAGGCCUAGCUUUUGGGCUCCAUUUCUUUUGAUUUCACUUCAGGAGGUGCUCUUGAGCCUAUUAGGAUUUUGGGAUUUAGAAGAAGAGGGAUGUUAACGAUGUGGAGGAUGAGAAACGUCUGAAACACAGCUUGGCUAUGGUGCUAAUGGAUCAGGUGUUGAAGACUUGUAAUGAGGGGUUGGUAUAGCUUCUGGUUAUCACAAUUGGGAAGGUGCCGAUCAAGAGGCUAGGAGGCGUUUUUGUAGUCAUCGGAAUAAACCAAAACUGGCUGAAUGACAUCCCUCUCGAGGUGGGUUAGGGGGAUUUUUUGUUUUGUUGCCUUUUUGCUUUAAAUCAGUGAUCUUCGCUCACUCCUUACCCUACUCCUGGUUCUUGAAAAAUCCUGUGUGAUCCUAACAACAAGGUUAGGGUUUGAGAGUUUUCUUUUCUACAGUCCAGAAAAAAAGAAAGCUUUAGGAAGAAAGGUGUUUUGAAAAAAGAAAGUGUUUUGGAAGCGCGCGCUUCCAACUAAGGGUCAAAGGAAAUUGGUACUUUUGAUUAAAACCUAAUAUGAUUCACUUACCUCCUCCCAGUCUCCCAUAGUCACACUUUGCCUCUAACUUCGACAUGGACCUCGACUUUCUCUUCUUCGAUGGUCCGACGUCAUCUCUUGCCUGACCUCCACGGCUCGACCUGCCUCGCCUAUGAAUCCGCCUCUCCAUCUCGGCCUCUCCACCAAGUCGACUCCAUUUAUAGGUUUGUGUUUCUCUCUUUAGUUCUUUUUCGAUUUCUGGAAGAAAAAAGUAAUUUAAUCGAACAAAUAGAUAGAUAAACGUUUCAUGUAUUGCAAAUUUGCAAUAGUAAGAAUGGGUGGGCUGUGGGCAUGCUGGAACUCUGGAAGGCUAGCUAAAUAGGCAAAAGAGCAACUAUUAGCAAAGUGAAGGUACGUUGACCUUGCCCAUGCUCUGGUCUCACAUUUUCCUUUUUGGUUUGAUGAUUUUGUGGGGUUAAUCAAAUUAUACAUUGCUAGCUUAAGCAAGAGUUCAUGAGAAUGAGAAUGAGGAUGAGGAUGAUGUCCUUGGUGAUUAGGUAGAUUAGUGUUUAUUUUUAUUUGAGUUAUUUGAUUGUAGAAUAAUAACUUGAAUCUUUGAAUAUGCUAUUUAUUUAUUUUUGUAUAAUUAAAUAUAUAUAUAUAUAUAAAUAUAUAUUAUUUUAUUCCGACGCUUUCAAAACAUUUCCGCUUCUACCAAAUUUUAGAAAAAAAAAUACACUUCCACUCUUCCAAACGUUUUGCUUCCAUGCCUCCGCUUCCGAUUCUAUGCAGCAUAGAUAUAUAUGUAGAAAUGUCCACACAAUUACUUAUUAAUUAUGUCUUUACGAUGUAAUCACUAAUCACUGUUCCUAUAUAAAAGAGACUAAUGAGAAUGAAUGAGACACUUUUACCUCCUUUCACAUUCUGUCUCUCUACUUCUUUUUCUCUAUAAUUUUUUAUCUCACUAACAUAAAUUUUAGUUUCUAACAACACUCAUUUUUUUUUUAGUUUUUUAUCUUCAGCCUUUUGUAAUAAAGCUGUUGUGAUGACUGUGGAGCCCACCUGAAUUGGUCGGGCGAAACGUUAGGCAAAAAUCAGAAAUUAAAUUACCUUGGCAAUCACUAUUCACAUGGGGCCUAUUAAUUAGUCCGGCAAUUCAUGGCUGGUGCAUUGAAAAAAGAGAGAAUCAACAAAUCAGUCAUCAAAUUAACCCAGUGGUGCAUUUGUUCUUAAGGAUAUUUGUUUGGUCAUUAGGGGAAAGAGUCACACUUUGCGUCCCUAUAUGUAAUUUUUCUAAAAAUUGAAGAGAGAAUUACAUAGUAGUACAUGACUAAAUUUAAAAACACAAAAAACCCACUUUUAAUAAUUUUUAAACAAUACAGGACGCAUGUCCAAGCCCAAGCCCAAGCCCAAGCCCAAGGCCAACAGUAUCAGACCUCACUCUAAAAAGUUACAUGAAAUGACUCAAAUGCCCUAUCACAUACUCACAUUCCAUUCUUUCUCCCAUACCUCUUUCUCUCUCAUACCAACAUUUAUCGACUAGAGCAGCCAUCUCGACGAUGAUGGACUACGCUCGACGACGACGACAAAAGACGGAUGACGCUCGACGGCGACGACUAAUGCCUGGCACCUCAAUGUUGACGAUGCUCGACGACGACACAAGAGAGAGAAGUGGAGGAAAUCUCUUUCCUAAUAUCCAUCACCAUCAUCGUCCGGCCAAUCUCCGAAGCCUGAAUUCAUCUAAUCAAGUAAAGCUUCGGCCUUCAAUUUCGAUUCUGCAAUUUCUAGGGAUUUGUUUCUCUUCGAUUUGUGGUUUUCAUCAUUCAAUCGCAAUUUUAGGUUCAGAUUGUUAUUUUGUUGAGAUUUGAGGGUUUCGAGUCGUCGAUCAGAGGGUUUCGAGUUGUCGAUCAGGGCUCGAUUUGCCAUAGUGAAGUGUUUUGGGAGUAGGGGCUCCGUUGAGGCUGACGGUGUCCACCUCAGAGUUGUUCGUGAAUUUGGUUGAUGGAGGUCUUUGUUGAAGUUGUGGUUAUCUUUGUUUUUGGUAGGUUUGUUUCAACAAUAGCAGCUUUGGCAGUAGCAGCAUCAUUGCAUUAGCUUUGGCAGUCACUACCAGAAGAAAGGCUUUAGCCGACGAAAAUAAAAAACCAGGCCGACGAAUUUUUUUUCGUCGGCUAAAGUCCACUUUAGCCGACGUAAUUUUUUUCGUCGGCUAAUUUAAAAUUUUCGUCGGCUAUGGUCAACUUUAGCCGACGAAAGUAAUAUUUCAUCGGCUGAAUAAUUUUUUCGUCGGCUAUNNNNNNNNNNNNNNNNNNNNNNNNNNNNNNNNNNNNNNNNNNNNNNNNNNNNNNNNNNNNNNNNNNNNNNNNNNNNNNNNNNNNNNNNNNNNNNNNNNNNNNNNNNNNNNNNNNNNNNNNNNNNNNNNNNNNNNNNNNNNNNNNNNNNNNNNNNNNNNNNNNNNNNNNNNNNNNNNNNNNNNNNNNNNNNNNNNNNNNNNNNNNNNNNNNNNNNNNNNNNNNNNNNNNNNNNNNNNNNNNNNNNNNNNNNNNNNNNNNNNNNNNNNNNNNNNNNNNNNNNNNNNNNNNNNNNNNNNNNNNNNNNNNNNNNNNNNNNNNNNNNNNNNNNNNNNNNNNNNNNNNNNNNNNNNNNNNNNNNNNNNNNNNNNNNNNNNNNNNNNNNNNNNNNNNNNNNNNNNNNNNNNNNNNNNNNNNNNNNNNNNNNNNNNNNNNNNNNNNNNNNNNNNNNNNNNNNNNNNNNNNNNNNNNNNNNNNNNNNNNNNNNNNNNNNNNNNNNNNNNNNNNNNNNNNNNNNNNNNNNNNNNNNNNNNNNNNNNNNNNNNNNNNNNNNNNNNNNNNNNNNNNNNNNNNNNNNNNNNNNNNNNNNNNNNNNNNNNNNNNNNNNNNNNNNNNNNNNNNNNNNNNNNNNNNNNNNNNNNNNNNNNNNNNNNNNNNNNNNNNNNNNNNNNNNNNNNNNNNNNNNNNNNNNNNNNNNNNNNNNNNNNNNNNNNNNNNNNNNNNNNNNNNNNNNNNNNNNNNNNNNNNNNNNNNNNNNNNNNNNNNNNNNNNNNNNNNNNNNNNNNNNNNNNNNNNNNNNNNNNNNNNNNNNNNNNNNNNNNNNNNNNNNNNNNNNNNNNNNNNNNNNNNNNNNNNNNNNNNNNNNNNNNNNNNNNNNNNNNNNNNNNNNNNNNNNNNNNNNNNNNNNNNNNNNNNNNNNNNNNNNNNNNNNNNNNNNNNNNNNNNNNNNNNNNNNNNNNNNNNNNNNNNNNNNNNNNNNNNNNNNNNNNNNNNNNNNNNNNNNNNNNNNNNNNNNNNNNNNNNNNNNNNNNNNNNNNNNNNNNNNNNNNNNNNNNNNNNNNNNNNNNNNNNNNNNNNNNNNNNNNNNNNNNNNNNNNNNNNNNNNNNNNNNNNNNNNNNNNNNNNNNNNNNNNNNNNNNNNNNNNNNNNNNNNNNNNNNNNNNNNNNNNNNNNNNNNNNNNNNNNNNNNNNNNNNNNNNNNNNNNNNNNNNNNNNNNNNNNNNNNNNNNNNNNNNNNNNNNNNNNNNNNNNNNNNNNNNNNNNNNNNNNNNNNNNNNNNNNNNNNNNNNNNNNNNNNNNNNNNNNNNNNNNNNNNNNNNNNNNNNNNNNNNNNNNNNNNNNNNNNNNNNNNNNNNNNNNNNNNNNNNNNNNNNNNNNNNNNNNNNNNNNNNNNNNNNNNNNNNNNNNNNNNNNNNNNNNNNNNNNNNNNNNNNNNNNNNNNNNNNNNNNNNNNNNNNAAUCGAAGAUUGAAGUUUUUAGGGUUUAAAAUUGGGGAUUUUUAUUAUUUUGAGUCGAUUGACCUGUUUAGGCUUAGAAUUGAGCUUCGAUUUCUUCUAGAAAGUUGUUCGAAAUGUUGAGACGAAGAUUCUGUCAAAUUUUGGUCGUGAUUGGAGGUGGCCGAAAGUUUCUGCAGUUUUUUUUUUCAAAACCCAGCAACUUUAGCCGACGAUAUUUAAACACUAUAUUCGUCGGCUAUAGUAUUUUUUAAUUUUUUUUAUAAGGUUUAGCCGACGAAUUAUGUCAUGUUUCGUCGGCUAUAGUUAUUUUUUUAAUUUUUUUAUAAGGUUUAGCCGACGAAAUAUAGUAUAUUUCGUCGGCUAUAGUUAUUUUUUUAAAUUUUUUUAUAAGGUUUAGCCGACGAAAUAUAGUAAAUUUCGUCGGCUAUAGUUAUUUUUUUAAUUAUUUAUUACACACUUUUAGCCGACGAAUAUAUUAAUUGUUUCGUCGGCUAAAGUCUGGGAAAAAAACCGACGACAUGUUUUUCGUCGGCUAACUGUGGGACUAUAGCCGACGAAAAAAAAAAUUUCGUCGGCUAAAGUCAUCACCGACGACCUUUUCCCGACGACACUAUAGCCGACGAGCCUUCGUCGGCUAAGAUCUUAGCCGACGAAUUAAGAUAACAGGCCGACGAAAAUUUUUCGUCGGCUAAAGUGCUUGUCCUGGUAGUGAGUAGCAACAUCCUUGCAUCAGCUUGGACAGUAGCAGCGUCCUAACAUUAGAGUCAGUAGUAGCAGCGGGCUAGCAUCACAAUCAGUAGCAGAAAAUGUAGCAAAAUACCGACAAUAGCACAAAAUUGCAAUAGCACAGGCAGUAGCACUUGGGUAUCGGUAGUAGCACAUUCUUAUUCAACAAUAACACAUAACACAUAACACAUUUCUAGUCGACAGUAGUAACAUAAUUUGUAGUGAAGGGUAUUCUGGUAAAGUUAUAGUGAAAAUGACAUAUGAACAUUAAUUUAUCCUGAUUUGUUAAUUUUUGUCUUUAAAUGUGUAAGAUAAUGUGUAAAUGAUGUAUUUGUAAACUGAAAUCUGAUCAAUAACUUUAAUGUAAUUUACUAAAUUGAAAAUUGUAUGUCUAACCUAUUUUAUUUUCCGUCGGCUAGGAGGAAAUUUGCUGCAGUAUACAGACCUAUAUCCAUUCUGUAAAAUAAAACUUUUUUACUGAAAGUACUACCCACACUCGACACUACUGAGUCGAAACAUGGCGGAGAAUGACCUCACCGCCUCGCCGGAGUCGACCACACCAACGGCCAGGAUCAUCUGCGAGAUCCUCUUCCGUCAAUCCCCUCACCAAAUCUGCCCCGCCCUCGCCUCCACCGGAAUCGUCCCUACUCUCGACCUCAUCCUCGAAGUCCUCACCCUCUCCUACGACUACCCCUUCUCCGCCAUCAAGUUCUUCCAAUGGGCCGGCCCAGCCCAAAACCACUCCCCCGCCGCCUGGAACAUCAUCGUAGACCUCCUCGGCCGCAACCGCCUCUUCGAUUCCAUGUGGGACGCCAUCCGCUCCAUGCGCGACCAAUCCACUCUCUCCCUCUCCACCUUUUCCUCCGCCUUCGCCAACUACGCCUCCGCCGCACGCUUCGACGACGCCGUCAUGACGUUCCAGGUCAUGGACAAGUACGGCGUCCCGCCACGCGUCGCCGCCGCGAACUCGCUCCUCAGGGCCAUGUGCACCCAAAACGGCGGCGUUUCGAGGGCGUUGGAGUUUCUGGAGACGAUGAAGGGGAGCGAGGAGUUCGGCCCUGAUGGGGACUCGUUCGGGAUUUUGCUGGAAGGUUUGGAGAAGGAAGGAAACUCGGCAAGGGCGAAGACGGUGUUUGGGGAGAUGGUGGUGAGAGUCGGGUGGAGCCCGGCGCACGUUCCGGCUUACGAUGCUUUCUUGACGGCGCUCGUGAGGGGCGAGGAAAUCGAGGAGGCUGUUAAGUUCUUGGGAGUGAUGAACAAGAAUGGCUGCUUGCCAGGUUUGAGAUUCUUGUCGAAUGCUGUUGAUAUUCUUGUUAAGAAAAAGAGCGGCAAGAAUGCUAUAUUGGUUUGGGAUAUUAUGGUUGGUAAUGGGUUGCUGCCUAAUUUGGCAAUGUAUAAUGCUAUGAUUGGGUUGAUGUGUGAUUGUAAUGAGGUGGAUCGUGCAUUUCAGCUACUUGAUGAGAUGGUGUUCAAUGGUGCUUUCCCUGAUUCUGUUACUUAUAAUGCUAUAUUCAAGUGCUUGAUUAAGAACAGCAGGGUUCGCGAGGCGGGGAAGUUCUUUGUCGAGAUGGUGAAGAAUGAGUGUCUGCCGACACAUUUUAAUUUUGCUGCGGCCAUCACCAUGUUUUUCGAUGGGGAUGACCCUGAAAUGGGGGUUGAGAUCUGGAACUUUAUGGUUGAGAACUGUGUGGAGCCGCUUGAUGUUGCUGCCAAUGCCUUGCUUUUGGGUCUUUGUAAGUUAGAUAGGUUGUCCGAGUUGAAGAGGUGUGCUGAUGAUAUGCUCGAUAGGAGGAUCAGCGUUUAUGAAUCGACUAUGGCGAGGUUGAAGAGUGUUUACUAUAAAGAUGGCAGAGGUGCUAAGGAUAAAUAUGAUGGCUUGGCAAGAAGGUGGAAGACGUCACUGGCUCGUUAGGGAUGGCAACUUCAGUUACUUAGUUUCAUCUGUAUAGAAGUUCUGCUGUUUUGGGUGUAGAAGACCUCACUGGCUCUCAUUCAGGUUUAGUUCUUUUGUUUGAGUGCCAGGAAUGUAAUUAACUAGUGUUCGGUUUAAUCAUAUCUUCUUGUCUCUUUUCUUGUUCCUCUAUUUUUGCCUUUGUUUGCGUUUUGCUCUUUAUCUUAUGUCUUACUGAAUUUGAUAUUGUUCUCCGUCCAUGAAGUGCACUUAAUUGUUGUGUUUCCAGAACACAUUAGGAGUGUAGCAUAUUUGGUGCUUGUGCUCGUAUCAACUUGUUGCCGGUGGUUGCUAGAUGAGGCUGUUAUAUAGGAUCUUUAACUGAGUACAUUGUCAGUAAUCAUACUUGUUUUCACAAAUUGGUGCAUCAAUCAGAGUGCUGGAGUCAUUGCUGGAUUUUUGUUCAAAAUGUAGAUCACACAAUCCUUGUGCAGAUUUGACACCUCAGGAAUUAAUAAUAGGAAGACUUUCAGGAAUACUAGCUUAGGGAGGAGAGGCGCGGGGAAAAUGCAUAGGCUAAUCUCCAAAAGACUGAGAGAGAGCAGUUGCAGGCCUUAUAUUAUUGAUUGUGAUUGUGUGCGUUAAAGAUUGGAGCCACGUUUUAAUCCCAUGACAAUAAGAAAUGUCAUUAGCAGCAGUGUCUUAUGUAUGCACCAGUUUCUUAUGUAUACUAUCUUAAAGUUUCACAUGAAAUUGCUUGUUGCUGUUUGGCUUUGGUGUAUGGAUCUAAAAUGGUAGUCUGGAGUGAUGCAAUAAAUAUGGAUAAAUAUGGUAAUAGUCCGAUUAUAAGAGUGAAGGUGCUUGUGAUAUUGAUUCUUGUUUAAAAUGGUACACUUGUGUUCUACAGUGUACAUCUGAUUGGUGAGAGUGGAUGUGCUUUGGAAUUUACAUCGAAAUAAUUUGAUGUUGGUUAUGGCAGGUAAAAGCACAAAGGCACAAACACAGCCUAUCACCCAUUAAACGAGAUUAAUUUUUGACUCAAAUCAAGGAGGUCCAGCGACGGUGGUUGUUUGGAUUUUGGAUUCAACCCCUUCCUCUCUCUUCGUCGUGUUCUUUCUCUCCAACAGACUGCUCAUCCUCUCUUUGCAAAACCCAGCCUGCCAGCUCCCUCUCUCUCUCUCUCNUCNCUCUCUCUCUCUCUCUCUCUCUCUCUCUCUCUCUCUCUCUCUCUCUCUCUCUCCUCCUCCUCCUCUUCCUCCGCUGCCGUCGCCGCCGCAAGGAGAUCCCACGUGUUUUUUCUCCACCCUAAUGUUCUCUCCCAUGAUGUUCAUAUCAUGAACUGAUGGAGAUAGUGUCUAGUUAUCUAGACAGUAUUAUGCCUUGAUAGGGCACUGUACUUAUGUUUCUUCACAGUUUGUUACGUUUUGUUUUCAAGUCAUGUGCUUCAUAGCGAAGUUGGUGUGCACGGUGGAAGUUUGUUUUCUUGUGUUUCAGUUUGUUUCUGCUUGCUCUAUUGGGUUUAAUCUCUUAAAUGACAGCAGGUAAGUAUAUAGUAAAUACUUGGUUUGGUUUUCUUCUACUGAUGCUUCUUGUCUUUUGUGAUUAGAUUCAUGGCGAUGGUUCGUGGUUUUGUUGAUCUAUCCCAGUAUUAGUGAAUGGUGAUCGGACAAUGCUGGUGUUGAUUUGUGUGUUGAUGUUGUUGCUCAAGUAGUGAAUAGAGGCAGUUUAGGAGGUGAAGCAAUGCUUGUGUUUUUCAAUUGGGUGAUUCAGAAACCGAAUGUGGCUAAAGAUGCUCAUAUGUAUCAUGUAAUCAUCAAAGCAUUGGAUAGGAGAAAGUUCUUCAAGUACAUAAUGCAAGUUUUGAGUGACAUGAGAAGCCAAGAUGUAUGUAUCAAUUUGGAGACUGUGUUGAUAGUGAUGGAUAGUUUUGUGAUGGCUGGACAUGUAUCGAAAGCAAUCCGAUUUUUUUGGGACUUGGAAGAGUUUGGGUUGGAUUGCGGUACUGAGUGUCUGAAUGUGCUUCUGCAGUGUCUGUGUCGGCGGUCUCAUGUAGUGGCUGCAAGCUUGUUUCUUAAUUCAGUGAAGGGGAAGGUGGAGUUUAAUGGUGCGACGUAUAACGUAGUUUUUGGUGGGUGGUCGAGAUAUGGUAGAGUUGGUGAGAUGGAGAGUACUUUGGAAGCAAUGGUAGCAGAUGGGUUUAGUCCUGAUUGUGCAACUUUCUGUCACAUUCUUGAGGGUUUAGGAAGGGCUGAUCAGAUUGAUGAUGCGGUUGAGAUUUUUGAGAGCAUGAAGAGGAAAGGUUGUGUGCCAGACACCAGACACCAAUGCAUACAAAGCAAUGAUACCUAAUUUUAUCUCUGUUGGGAAUAUUGAUGAAUGUGUAAAGUACUUCAAGAGUAUGUCGAGAAAUGGUUGUGAUCCAAAUGUUGAUACUUAUACCAAAGUGAUUGCUGGUUUUCUUAAAGCCCGAAAAUUGGCAGAUAUACUGGAGAUGUUUGAUGAGAUGUUAAGUCGAGGAUUUGUUCCUACUAUGGGGACUAUAACCUCUUUUAUGGAACCCUAAUGUAGCUAUGGUCCACCAUAUGCUGCUAUGAUGAUCUACCAGAAAGCAAGAAAGGUCGGAUGUAGAGUAUCAUUGGCUGCUUAUAAGCUAUUGCUUAUGCGCCUUUCUAGAUUUGGUAAAUGUGGAAUGUUGCUAAACAUUUGGGAUGAGAUGCAGGAAUGUGGUUAUGUUUCUGAUAUUGAAGUUUAUGAGCACAUAAUCAGUGGACUUUGCAACAUAGGGCAGCUUGAAAAUGCUGUAGUUGUCAUGGAAGAGUCUCUACGAAAAGGUUUUUGCCCAAGCAGGCUUACUUACAGCAAACUAAGUAACAAACUUCUUGCUUCAAAUAAGUUAGAGAGGGCUUACAAGUUAUAUUUGAAGAUUAAAGCUGCUCGUCAUGCUGACAAGUCACAGAGAAUUUGGCGUGCUAGGGGAUGGCAUUUCUGAACUGUCAUCUCAUUGUUGGCAAGCUAUAUUCUUCCUUUCCUUCCUGCAGCAAGUUAUGGACUUACCCUUUAGAAGAGUGGUUUUCAGUAAGUGUAUGUGUGAUACUAAGUUUUGAAUAUAAUGCCUGCUUGACACAUAAACGUUCUUAUUUUUAGUAAUCGCCUAUAUCAAGCACUGUGUUAGUCUUGUAUUGCACAUAAGCUAUAAUUUCUGCAUGCAGGUAUAUCUCUCUAGGUAUGCAAUUUUGUAUUAACUGGCUUUUUACUUUUGUAGGACAUUGUAUCAGAGACUGGCUUGACAAUGGAGCUGUCCUCUCACUCCUCUGAUCAGGUAAGAUCUUGUAUCUUAAAUCAUUGGUACUUUUUAUACCAGCAAGUGUCUUUGCAAGUUUCUCACAUGGAUAUACAAUUACAUUUUUUUUUUUUGGUAUGUGUUUGAAAUUUGGAAUCUUGUGUUUUAUCACGACUGCCUUUCCACAUUUCAUGUUUUGUCAUGAGCAAAUUAAUUAUUGCAAGCAGAUAACAUAAUGGGAGAGAAAUCAGUAUAUGUCAAAGUGGCCAAAGAAAUUUAUUAAACCAAUAGUAUGCCUGCUUGGACAGGUCAAUAUAGAAAUUGAAAAUCCCUUGUUGAUAAUGUCAAAGAUAGCCGCACCUCUGACUAUUUUUUUUCUCAGUUGGAUGAAGGGUAUUACUUACUAGGUGUUACCUAAGUUCUUAGCAUUAACGCAGGAAACACUGGGAAGAUUAUGAAUAUAGUAGCAGAGGAAAAAACUAUUCCUCCUACCGGUACGGUAAAAUAUUUACAAGAGUGACACGUUGGAGCUCCAAAGAAUUUUGAUUGCUGCGGAUAGAAAUUGAUUUCUGAAGUCAAGAAUGGCAAAACUAAACAUUCCAGGUGAUUUUGGAGUUAAGGAAUUGGCAUGAACGGAUGAAGAUGCUAACAUGGAAUGUAUUGAUCUAGAAUUCAGUCUUUAGAAAAUAUCAAGGUAAAUGUUGAGUCUCUGUUGAAUGAUUAAUAAAUGUGAUAUCCAGCUAUACUUGAAGUCUGAUUAUCGUGCCCUCAUAUUGGGCAUAUGUGAAAAUGAACUUUUGUAUUGACAGCAGCUUAAAUAACCGUUAAAGGUGAUAAUGAACAUAGUAUUUGCUUAACAACCUAUGAAGAAUUUUCCAAAUUGUAUGAUAUGUGGUCAUUUUGAUGAAGAUAUUACCUUUUCCUAUUUAAGUAGUAUUUUCUCUUUUUUAGGUUUCUGAUAUACAUGAAGUUAUAUGUGAAUGGCUAACGCAGACCUUUUUGAAACACAGGUAAACUCCAGCUACCAGGGUUGUAUUACCCCCUGUACACCGUUCAGAACUUGCCCUUUCCAUUGAAGUUUACCAAAAUGUGCCUAACUAGGUCAAGGUAUCUUAUCCUUUCUGUUUUCUUGCUGAAGCAAAUUACACAGCUUUUGGUUAAGAGUGUGCUUUGUCAGUUUUGUAAUUCUAACUAGUCACUAGUCAAAUAAUAUUUCUUAUUAUUUUUAUGGGCUCCUGUUUUAUUUGUGAGUACGUGUGUAAGUGCCACCCAAAUGCUACACAAUUGUAUAUUGUUUAAAAAAGAAAAGAAAAGAAAAUUACAGAAUUCAUAUGAUUCAAACAUUAACCAACUCCCAAAGAGAUAUCCAUGAUUAAAUCUGGCUGGCUUAAGUUAAGAUGCUUCCAUCCAUAAACCUAACUAAAAAGUGGAAUGUGUUUUAGCUGGAAAAUUAAAGAAGAAAAAAGCAGUUGUCGGCAACAUAGCUGACUCAAAAUAGCCCAGUUCCAAGCUGCUGAAAUGCACAAGACAAAGUUUUGCAAAUUGAAAUAUUAACUUGGUACUGGAUAUUGAUACUGUCACUGUACACACCUCUAUUGUUUUUUCAUGCCCAAUAAUUGUGUCCUAGCAAGCAAUAUUUGAAGUGAUAUCAGUAAUAAGGCGAUGAAUAUAACAAGGAUGAGAAUCAAUAAUACUAAUAUUUAAGACGUAUAGAACUCUAGCUAGAUGAUCAAAGAAAAUAGUACCAGCACACUAACCAUGGUUUAUUGCGUUAAAAACCUGUGGUAACUGCGCUAAACGAUGAUCAAUGUCUAGUGUUGCUUUUCUUUUUUUUUUCUUUUUUUUUUUUGGUUCUGUUAUAAUGUUGCUGCAUAACUAAUUGAUUUUGGUACUUUUGCUUUGGACCAGGGUGACUGCAGACCAUGUCGAGGUUCGUAGUUACGUAAUUAAGAGAUUGUGAGCUGUGACAGCGUUAGUUGGAUUCGUUUACCCCCAAAUUGUAUUGUUGGGAAGUUAGUCUCAGAAAAUAGGUUGGGAAGUUAGUUUUGGUUCAAUAUAUGAGCAGUGUAUGAAACUGUACGUAUUGAAGAAUGCAACUAUAUAUGUAUAACUGGAUAUUCUCUGUUCUAGCCAGUGUGGAGCUCCAUUGACUAAGCACGAUGCUCAUGCAAUCUAAUAAACUUGAAGUCGAUCUUCUACACUUUUCCAUAAGACCCCUUUUCUUUUUCUUUUUUUUCCAGUGCAGAGCCCUUUAUAUUUUUCCAGUGCAAAACGCACAUAAGCUUACUAGUCUUAAUCUGGUCAUUCUACUUACCUCUUGUGAUAUUCAAUCAUAUCUGUUUUGCAGGAGAGGGUUAGGGUAGACUUGCAUCAUUGCUUGUCAAGAACUCAGACACUAAAGUGGAACUAAUUGCUAUACCAGUAUCAGCUUAAUUACUUCCUAAAUCUAAACCUCCAAUAAAACAAGGAUACCAUGCAGAAAGAUUAUCGUAACGAGAGGUGGUAGUUUUGGGCAUGACUCAGGUUUUGCUCGACAAGUCAUAUGAAGAAACUUGAAGACUAAUUAAACAGAAUGGCGUCGUAUGCUCGACCAACAUAUUUCAUGUAACAGGAUGUCAGGAUAUAUUGGAAUGCAAAAAUUGUUGUGAUUAAACUACAUAUAUUGGAUUGUAACAAGGUACAGUAUAUUGAAAAUUCAAAUUACACUAGUACAGAAAAAGUUUCCAUGACGUUUGGAAAACGUCAUUAUAAGGGUUUCAUGACAUUUAUCAAACAUCAUCUACUUUGCCGUCUUAACCGUAAUGAUGGUUUCUCCACUCUUUUAAUGACGUUUGUAAAACGUCGUGAAAUAUAUUUAAUGACGUUUGAUAAACGUCAUGGAAUCUAUUUCAAUGACGGUUCCUAAAUGUCAUGAAACAUUCUUCUAUGACGUUUUUAAAAUGUCAUAGAAAAUCAUUCAUAACGUUUUUCAACCAUCGUUGAACAUCUUUCAUGACAAUUUCCAAACGUCAUUAAUAGUUUUCCAUAUUUAAAAAAAAUAAUAUUUGAUUUCUAAUUAAAUUCAGAAAUCAAAUAUCUCUUUGUUUUCACAUCACAAUGGAGACAAUAUACUACUGGUUUCAUUAAGAUAUCUACCCUUAGUUCUACACAUCAAAGUGAGUAUCUAAGUUACAUUACAAAACGAAAAUAACAAUGCAGCAAAAAUUUAAUAUGCACUUAAUACAAAACAAGUACAAAAAACACAAAAGAAACCAGCUUAAAGUGCUACUGCAGCUGCUGCUGCUGCUUGCCUUGUUUUCUUGCAUAUAAGGGGUAUUCUAAAAUCAAUAAUGUUCUCAAAGCUGCAACAGAAAGUAAUAGACAUGAGCAAUACUAGUAUGUGGAUCUUCAUGUAAAAGGGUGAAAUGAUAAAAUAUCUACACUUAAAUUCAAAACUCAAACAAUAGCCAGUAGUAAAUAUUAGCCAAGGAAUAAGCCACAUUGCAUGUUUAAAAUCUAAAAUUUAUUUCUCUUAAUAAUCUCUAUUUUCUCAAUCCUCCCUUUAAGCAACGGUUUUAGACAGUUGCAACAUAAAAACAACUAACAGAAGAUAAAGGCUAAUAACUCAUAGGGUAUAAGGUCUCCAUAAGAAAACCAAAAAGGAACCGCCCAUAUAAUGCUUAUUACAUCCCAUCUAGACAUAUAUAGGUAGGUAACCAUCAAAUAGAACAAAACCAAAUUCCACACAUACAAACCAAGGGGAAACAUAAGAAGCUAAUAUAUAUAAGUACCUCAACCAUCUUUAGAAAAACAGGUGAAUUUAGCUUUUGCAAGGUUGAGAAGGAGCAUAUUCCUGUAUCUCAAAAAUAUAAAGUUAGUUAUCAAUCAAAUUUUAAUCCUUUUAUAUUUUUUAUUAGUGAAAUUGAAUAACCAUCAAUGCAUGAAAACAUGUAUUAUGAAAUUAGUGAACAAAUAUAAAAACAUUAUCAUCCAAAAAUACAAAAAAAGAUAGGUACAAAAGAUAGUAAAGAACAUAAUUUCAUCUAUGUGCCAACACAAAUACUCAUGACCUAGCAUCUCCAUCUAUCUUACGUUUACCACUACAAGAAGUUGGAAUCAUCAACUGGUAAAGCAAACCCUUUUUAUGGAGCCACAAAUUGGAUAACAUGCCCAAUACACAUAUGUUACCAAUUCAUAAUGACUCAUGAGCAACUAAGAAACAAAUACACCGAAUAAAGAAUCAUGAACAAAAUGCAAUACAUUCCUGGAUGUGCAGUAAUAAAAAAACAAGAUAAAGAUCAAAUCUUUUUUGGGCAAAAAAGCUAAUGAACAAUAAAACUUACCCUUCCAUAUGCAUUAAUGUCAAGGCCAUUCUUGAGAAGAUCAACAACAUCAUUCUUCAAAUACUUGAGCACAAAGUUCCUCUUCUUCUUAAUCCCCUCAAGCCUCACCUUCAAGGUCUUUAUAUCAGUUUUGCUGCAUCAAAAAGACCCAAAAUAAGAACCCAAGAAAAAAAAAAACUUCAAAGAAACAAGACCGCAAAUUCCAAACACACUCCCAUAAUCAAGGACAAGAAAUUAUACCUCUGAUCAUAAUGCAUGAAUCAAUUAUGAGCCAAGUCUGCACCUCUUCUAGCAAUUGACGAGUGUGGCACAAGGACCAGAUGGCUUCCCUUCCUUAAACAGAAUCACCAAAUCCUUAGUUGUCCAUCCAAUUACUUAACUUUUCUGUUUGUAAACAAAUCGAAGAUCAAAUCACAGUAGAAGGCAACAUGCCUACUGAUCUCUAGAAACUAAUUUCACAACCCAACACCUACAGUUUUCAAACUAACCUUAUGAUCAGAUCAUGACCGAGUUACAGCUGCUUCCUUUUGAACAACACCGCAGCUGGAUAGAUUCUCCCUUUGCUCUCCUAAUCCAGUACUUCAUCGAUUCUUAUGGCCAAUAGAGGCUUCACCAAAACUACUAAACUCAAAACAAUGAAAUGAAGACUUACAUAGCAUUGCGUUUGAGUAAUUGAUCAAAUUAAGUAGAACCAUACCAGCAUACGUACGUUUGAAUGGAAUUCUCUAUCCAAAGUGCUUGCAGCAACAGUGAGGAUCAAGGGAGCAACAUUGCAUGCAGUUUCCCUAUGCAGCACUAGGGAAACCAAAGUUUCUGCUGAUGCAGAAACCAAUCAAAUCUUUCAUGCCCCUCUUGAAUUCCUAACACUCGAACAUAAACACAAAAAGAUGAUUCUCAAAUUUUGAACCAAACUAAUUGACAAACCAUAAAGGCAUAAACCGAUCAAAUUUAUAAUUCAUAUACCAUUGAAUUGACCAAAAACAUAUCAUAUAUAGUUAUAUACACUACUAGAAAUUUUGACCGAUACUCCAAAGUAAUAGUCAAUAAGGAUAUUAUCAAAGUAAGAAAAUUGAUGCAGUAAAAAAAGCAUAAACCUGGAAACCUCACCCUUAUUUAAUAUCCGAGCUUUUUAAAGCUCAAAUCGGAAACAAGCCUAGUUCUUCUUUGUGUUUUCACUUCAAUUUCCAAUCUUAAAGUAAAUACCCAAAAGAACUAAGUGGUACCCUUCCCAUGUAAGUAUCUCGAUCGGGAACAAACUAUAGAACAAUGAAAGAAAGAAAAAAAAAAGAAGGGAAGGCAAACGGUGGAAGAGAUAAGACUUUGAGUUAGGUGGCUUCUAGGUUUCCAAAGUACGUGAAGCUGGCAGCUAUAGAUGCUAAAUCAACCAAAAUAUGCUUAAUUAAAAAUUUAACAAGCCUAAUCUAAUCUUCAAAAUGAUUCACCCAAAUCUUAUCUUCAAUUCUCCAACCCUAGACCAGCGAAAAGGAUUUGGGAGAUUGAAAAAUACCUGCACUGAAGAAGUUGAGGCGUAGGUGAGACCGGAGUCGAACCAAGGUUCGGCCUUCUCAGCCUCACUCACCUCCUCCAUGAAAUUGAAGAAUCGACGAAGGAGAAACUGAGGUCGGCGGCACUGUGAGGUGGUCGAUGCAUGGCGCUGGUGGUGCACUCCUCCGGUGACAUUGAGUUCAGAGCAGAGGUGGUAGGAUUUGCAGUAUUUGGGCGAGAGUUCAAGAGGGUGAGGACAAGAAGAGAAAUAGUGUGCGGCUGCAGGGAGAGAAAAAGUGAAAAUUGAGUGAAGGGCUAGGUCUUUUUUCAUUCAUAUACCAUGAUUUUAUUAGACUUUACGGGCUAGGUCAAAAAUUUUAUGACGUUUUUAAAAUAUCAUGGCACAUUCCAAUCAUGACGUUUGAUAAACGUCGUUGAAAUAUUAUGUAUGACGUUUUUCAUUAAUUCAUGAUAUUUAUCAAAGGUCAUGGAAAAAUUAUUAAUGACAUUUAAAAGUAGUCAUAAAAAUUAUGACAGUUGAAAAACGUCAUCAAAUAGCAAGUCAUACAAUGACGUUUGUUAAACGUCAUAAAUUUCAGGACAAUUUUAGAUUCAUGACAUUUGCUUCUGAAAACGUCAUAGAAAAAAUAUACAAUGACGUUUUCGGACAAACGUCAUAAAUUUACUGUCAUUGUAACUUUUUUUGUAGUAGUGUUACUUUAUGAAUUCACUAAACUAUAUGAAGAAAUUUAUAAGCUGAGUAAGCUUUUAGAACAGUAGCAACACCCUUCCGUAACAAAAUAGUUGGUUAAUAUCAAUCACAAUUUUCUACAAAGAUUCUCUCUGUUUAAUCAUGGUAUCGAUCAUCAACUAAAUGCCUCACUGCUUCUUCAUGCUCUUCCUUAAAAGCAUUGCUCUGAAACUCUGCAAAUUCUUCGUUGAUUCCUCUUCAAUAUUCACAUCCUCUUUUUCUUCAUAUUCAAAUUACCAGUUCAGUGGAGGAAACAACUAACUAGAUAAUGGAAAAUGGGCUUCGAUCUAUUUCACGGAAACUGUGUGAACUCGUUGAUUUCUCAUUCAUAUCAAUUCAACAUACAUAAAUACAUGAGUUCACCAUGUAGGAAGGUAAACCUUAUCUAGCUAAACUACUUCAGAUUUAGAGAAAAUUAGAUAAAAACCCAAAAUACUAGACCUCUUUUAAGAUAAACUCAUACAUAUUUUUCUUUUAUUUUACACCCACUCCACAUAAGCAAACAUACCAUAUAGAGCAAAUGUCUAUAAUUAAUAGUUUUCUUCAUUUUUCGGUUUCUCUAAUUUGCUCUUCAGACAGUAGAAAACUAAAUUUAAUAUAUUUCUCAAUUUUAGCAUCAAUUUGAAACUCAAAUACUAGCUAAAAUUUAGUUGGAUUUAACUUUGUCAUAAUCAAUUACAUUCUUUAAUUUCUUACCUUGUUAUUACUAACUUGAGUGUGUAUAUAUAUAUAUAUGCUAUAUAAAGAAGUAUGUCAUUUGUAAUAGGAUGAUACUUUUUAUUCCUAAGCUCACAUUUGGUGUCUCUCUACAUAGUCGAAAAAUGUAUAAUUGUAAGGUACACGUUCUUAUUCUUUUAUUAAUUUUCUUCUUUUUAGGUAUAUUAUUAUAUCAUUUCUCAUCCUAAUCGAGAGAACAUUUUACUUUUUAUUACUUACGCUUCUAAUGUACCUAUUAAUUAGGGCAUGAUAUGAUAAUAUACCUUAAAAGAAGAAACCCAAAAUUGGGUUUAGGGUAUAGGGUUAAGGUAUAGGGUUUAGGGUAUAGGUUCAGGGUAUAGGGUUUAGGGUAUAGGGUUUAGGGUUUAGAUCAGAUAUCUUAUUUAUAUUAUAUUUUACCUUAUGUAUAGAUUAGAGAAUGAAUUCCUUUAAUCAAGAUUUUUUUCAUAAAAAUAAAGAAAACUACAUAAUUCUUGCAAAUUGAUUGAAAAAUGUUAGUGUUAGAAGAAAAACUCAUAAUCAAGGUAUUUAAGACAACAUCAAUUAAGUUUAUUUAUUAUAUUAAUAUGUUAUAGUUGAAUGGUGGCAAUUGUGUAAAAUUUUAAAAAAAUAGGACAUAAUAUUUAUCAUAAUUGAUAUAUUUUAGAUGUCUAUCAAAUAGAAAUAUUAGGUGAGUUUUAUUUAAAACUACUUUUCAAAAUUGGGUGUAUAUGAAAAUUCCCCUCAGAUUUAUCAGUACAACUCAUCUUACAUAAAUAAUUAAAUAUGGUUAACAAUAAACUAGAGUGACAAUGUCAAGCGCUUUGCUUAUCAAUGUCAGCUAGUAAGAACACAGAUGCAUUUCACCGCAAAGGGAGUUGUUUGCCUCAGGACUAAAAUCGAUUGACCCCAACAAAUUUGAAAGAUCGUCAUCAACUGUGUUUUGUUGCUCAUCAGUUGCGACCUCCACCAAAGAUUCAGGCAUGCACACACCAUCCUCAUAGCCCAUCAGUCCUCCACAAACAUCAUUGCUUCCAGAUGUAUCAAUGCAACCAUUUUCUGAGGAUAAAUCGGGCAUAGCAGUGCAACAAUCAUAGGCCGCAGACAUGGAUGAUCUGGGAGCAUCAAGAAGGGCGUUGUUGUUUACCCCGUUUUGUUCAGCCACAUCUAUACCACUAUUCAUACCAUGAAAAAGUAGUUCCGCCAUUUCGUCGGUACUCAAUCUGUCUAGGAGUUCCCCAAAACGAAAAUCUUUCUCCGGCAGCGGAUUAAAGAUUCCAUGAUUGGCCGCUAAUGGUUGCUGUCCAACAUUCUCCUCACCUCGAAAGCUAUUUUCUUCAGCUUCUAAUGAUGGAACAUUGUCUUCUUCAUUGCAUUCCAAUGUCUCUUCUAGUUCAGCUGCGAAUGCAUCAUCAUCUUGUGAUGGCAUUGUUGGUGGUGCGCUAUCAAUGGAUGGUGCAGUUCGUUGUUUCUUGGCUUGUGUUUCAAGAAACUCUUCUUGCUCCCCACUCAAGAUUUCCGUAUCAUCACAUGCAUCAUCAUUUUCAAGAACCUCUUCCUCUUCACGUUGCUUUCUCUUCUUCGCCAUCUUGGUUUUGGGUUCACCAUUCUUUCGCAGUAGACAAAGAACGUAGUCUUUCAGCUUUUGUUUCUUGUUUCUAAGUGACCGAUCACGAAAGAACUCAUACAAGAUCCAACAACCGUUCUGCACCGAGUCUUCGUUUUUGUAAGUCAAUCUUUUCUUCAAGCCAACAACACGACCAUUCUCAACAGAUACUACUGGCUUGGAGUCGUCGCUCUUCCAGUUUCCACUUCCAACAUUCCGGCGUAUGCUGUAAUGGUACCAAACCUGAUGGCUACGAAUGGAAAGGAAUUGAAAGACAAUGAUAGCAAAAGAGUUUUUUCAUAGAUGGCUGCUGCGUUUACACUGUUUGGUAUAAAUACCCUCAAGCCCCCGCUAGGAUGCUGACACGCGUCAAACAUCUAACUAAGGAUACAAUGCAAAAACCCUAGCAAUAAAUUACUUAUAAUAACUAGUAAGAAAGACUCGUGCAAGACAUGUGCACUGCAAAAAGAGUAUACUUCUCCUAAUUACUCUAAGAUUCCAGCUGAUCUCAUUACAUUGCUGCCCUCUUCACCAGAAACUUGGCCACAAGUUUCGUAUCAGGUGUUAAGCAUCAGAAUCAAAGUCAGGGAAACGACGCUGAAUGUCCUGAGCAUAUUCCCAAGUAGCUUCUUCAGGUGUAGAUUCCUUCCAUUAGACAAGCCAUUGUGCUGCAGCUUCUCCCCUGCGUUUAACCAGCCUAGUUUGUAAAACCUUUGCAGGAGUCCAUUUAGGCCUGGAAGUGUCUGUGACAGCAGGCAGUUAGGGCUCAACGCUCACACCUUCACCCACCUUCUUUUUCAAUAGCGAAACAUGGAACACAUAUGAAUCCGAGCAGAAAUUGGGAGCUUAAGCUUGUAAGUGACUUCACCAAUCUUUUCCAAAACUUCAAAUGGACCAUAAUACUUAGCUGACAGCUUGUGGAAAGGAUGUUGAUGCAUAGUCUGCUGCCGGUAUGGUUGUAACUUGAGAUAGACCAUAUUACCUACAACAAAAGCUCUUUCAGUAUGCUUGUUGUCAUAGAAUUGCUUCUGCCUGUUCUGAGCCUGCAUCAGAUUCCUCUUGAUCAAAGUGAGAAGCUCAUCCCUGGUCUUGAGCUGAUUAUCCACACUGGCCACUGCUGUGGAACCCAUAGUGUAAGGCCGAAUUGGAGGUGGGGGGUAGCCAUAAAGUGCCUCAAAUGGUGACAUUUUGAGAGAUGCAUGAUAAGAGGAGUUAUACCACCAUUCUGCCCAUGGUAAUGCUUGCACCCACGUUUGAGGCUUAUCUCCAACAACACAUCUCAGGAAUUGCUCCAUAGAUUUGUUCAAAUUUUUGGUUUGGCCAUCACUUUGGGGGUGGUAUGCCGAAGACCUGCUGAGUUUGGUUCCCUGCAGUUGAAAAAAUGCCUCCCAAAAUAGGCUCAUAAAAUUGGGUCCCUAUCUGAGGUAAUAUUUAGUGGUAGACCAUGGAGGCGAAAAUCUCUUUGAUGAACACUUGUGCCAAAGAAGCUGCAGUAUAAGGGUGAGAAAGGGGAAAAAAAUGAGCAUAUUUGGUGAACUUGUCUAUCACCACCCAAAUGGUUGUCUUACCCUCAGAUUUUGGAAGAGCAUCGAUAAAGUCCAUUGCAAUGUCCUCCCAAGCCUUGUCAGGUAUUGCAAGAGGUUGGAGAAGCCCUGGAGGUUUGACAUUCUCACUGUGAUGUUGUUGGCAUAUUUCACACUCGGCCACAUACUUUUUGAUCUCACUGUGCAUUUUAGGCCAAGCAAAGCUUCUCUGAAUCCUCUUAGAAGUCCUUGAUCUGCCUGCAUGGCCACCCACCAACCCAUCAUGAAAUUCAGACAUCACCUUGAACCUCCAAUUAUCAGUUUGUGGAACAAAGAUCUUGUUCCUGUAAAAAAUUUGAGAAUUCACCAGAGAGAAAUGUUUGCAGUGUGUAGGGUCCUGCUGAAGUUUUUGCAAUAUUUCCUUCACCUCUUUGUCUUUGGAGUAGGACUAAAUCAUUUCCUGCAUGAAACUGUGGACCGGCCUUGACAUUCCCAUGAGCUGAAGUGUGCUGACAUUCCUAGAGAGAGCAUCAGAUGCAGCAUUAUUCUUUCUUGCCUUGUAUUGGAUGGAGUAAUCAUAUCCAAGUAGUUUGAGUAACCACUUCUGUUGGGCUGGUGUAGUGAUCCUCUGGUUCAGGAAGUACUCAAUAGUUCUAUGGUCAAUUAAUGCAGAUUUUAAAGUGAUGCCCUAGCAAAUAAGGUCUCCAAUGUUGUACAGCUGUUACCACUGCCAGCAUUUCUUUGUCAUAUACAGACAAAGCUAAGUGCCUCUGAGCCAAAGCUUUGCUCAUGUAUGCUACUGGAUGGCCUUCUUGAGACAAAACAGCCCCAAUCCCUCUAUCCGAGGCAUCACAUUCGAUGACAAAUUCUUUCGAAAAAUCUGGAAUGGCAAGAACAGGAGUGGAAACCAAUGCUUGUUUCAAUUCCUCGAAUGCAGUUGUGGCUUGCUCCCCCCACCUGAAGUUGUCUUUUUUCAAUAAGUCCGUGAGAGGUUUAGCAAUCAUUCCAAAUCCCUUCACAUCCUGUAGUAGCCCGCCAGCCCCAGGAAACCUCUGAGCUGUUUUAUUGUCCGAGGUUAUGGCCAUUUCUUGACGCAUUCUAUCUUAGCGGGAUCAACAGAAACUCCCUUUUCACUGAUGAUAUGACCUAGGUAUUCCACCUGAGGAACCCCCAAACUGCAUUUGCUCCUGUUGACCUUUAAAGAGUUUUGUUUCAAUUUCUCAAAAACCAUCUCCAAAUGUUGCAAGUGCUCUUCAAGAGAGGGACUAAAGAUCAGGAUGUCAUCAAAGAAAACCAAAGUGCAUUUCCUAAGGCAAGGUCGUAAUAUCUCAUUCAUGACUGCUUGAAAAGUAGCUGGAGCAUUGGUCAAUCCAAACGGCAUUACUAGGAAUUCAUAGUGGCUAGAAUGUGUACGAAAAGCAGUUUUGGCAAUGUCUUCCUCAUUCAUUCGGAUUUGGUGAUAACCCGAUUUAAGGUCUAGCUUGGUGAAGAUUGUUGCUCCAUGAAGCUCAUCCAAAAGCUCAUCUACUACAGGGAUGGGGUACUUGUCUUUGAUGGUAGCAGUGUUUACAGCUCUAUAAUCGAUACACAGCCUCCAAGAGCCAUCUUUCUUCUUGACAAGGAGAACUAGUGAGGAAAAAGGGCUAGUGCUAGGUCUAAUAACCCCAUUUUGCAGUAGAUCGCUGAUAAUCUUCUCAAUCUCACUCUUUUGAGAAUAAGGAUACCUAUAAGGUCUCACACUAAUUGGAGGAGUGCCUGGAGCUUGGAUGAUCUUAUGGUCUUGAGGGCGCGCUGGGGGCAAUUGAGUGGGAGGUUCAAAAAACUCACUAUACCUUUGAGUAAGAUUUUGAAUUGCAGGAUGUACUGUUGCUUCCUCUCUAAAGGGAAGAAGAGUGGAAUUUAAUUGAACCAGUACGGCCUUUCUCUCCUUCCUUAAGAGCCUGGACAUAGAUUUGCAUGUAACCACAGUCGACUUAGUCUUUGUCUCACCCUGUAGGAGGUGUGUCUGACCUGCACUCACAAACCUCAUGUACAUUUUCUCAAAAUUCCAAGUAAUAUCACCGAGAGUUUUCAGCCAAACUACCCCCAAAAUUAGCUCACACCCUAAAAUAGGCAAUACAUAAUAAUUGGUAGUAAAGGUAAAAGACUGUAAUUGCAAUUCAACAGUUACCAUUUGACUUGUGUGCAUGAUGUCACCACUAGCCAAUCGAACUCUCAAAGGUUUUAUGGGCUGCAUCACAGUCUUUUUAUUAUGCAGUGCUGAAGGAUGUAUGAAAUUAUGUGAGGCUCCCGAAUCAAUAAGCACAUGCACCCUUCUUUGAAGACAUUGGCCCUUAAGUUGCAUGGUUGAGGCAUUUCUCCCAUCACUCAUAGCCUGUAACACCACUUCUUGAUUAUCUAUCUCCUCGAUUUGAGGUGGCAUUAGAGGGGGGUUGGGAUCCCCUCCAACUUCAAGCAUCUGUAAGUCCAGUUCAUCUUCCAGCACUUCAAUAACCAUGACUGCUUUACCCCUUCUACAGUUAUGACCAAGCUGAAAGCGCUCGUCACAAAAAAAAACACUGGUUGCGAGCUAGUCUUUCUUGGUACUCUGCUUGAGUUAAGCGUUUGUUGCCCCCUUCUUGGCGCGCCACUCCCUGUUGUGGUUCAGCUUGUAAUCUAGGCUGAUUGAACUGAGGUUGAACUCUUUGUGGUGCUGCUGCUGCUUGGAUGUUUCUUGCGGGUGCCAUGCUAACUCUAGGGUUGUAAGUAAGCCGACGAAGACUUAACUCCUUCUCUUCAAAAAUCUUUGCCAAUUCACAAGCUUCAAAUAAGGUUUUUGACUUCUGUGCACGAACCUCAGCUCUAAUUCCUUCUUUCAAACCCCCAAUAAAACUUGAAAGUAACACUUGUUGAGGGAUCCCAGGAGCUCUUCUGGCUAACUUAGUGAACUGGUCUUUAAACUGCUCCACAGAUGCAGUUUGGUUGAGUCUUGUCAGUGCAGCCUGAUAAUCCAUCAUGUUGUACCCACUGAAUUCUCUCAUUAACAGAUCUGCCAACCCUUGCCACGAAUUUGGAAACUCAUACUUAAAAAUGAACCAUCUGUCGGCUGCCCUGUCAGUCAAGUGUAAUGUAGCUAUAGCCCACUUUUUGUCAUCUGAAAUCUGAUACAGUGCAAAAUAUUGCUCCACCCUAUUCAACCAUUCCAUAGUGUCGCCCCCUCCAAACGUAGCAAAUUCUAACUUCAUCUGUCUCAUUGUGGGAAGAUUUGGGUCCAGACUGGUGGUGUUUAUGGUAAGUGUUUGGUUUAGAACAAAUGUGUGUUGUGGAAAAUGGGGUGGAUAAGCAUAAGCUGUGUGCUGUGGGUUAGCACCAUGCACAAAGUGAGGGCUGGCAGUUGUAGUGGUAGCAUAAGUGGGGUUUGAAAAUGUGAGGGCUAGAUUUGAGAAGUGCUGCUGGAAAAUAUCAUUAUCAUUAGAUGAAACAAAAAAUUGUGGCUGGCUUUGAGACCGUCCAGGACCCAACAUAUAGUUAAAUGGAUGUUGACCAAAACCAGUAUGUUGAAAAUACUGAUUUUGAGCACCUUGAUGUUGGUUCACUACAUUAUGCCCAUGUGUAGCUGUGCUAGAUUGUCCUUUUUCAUUUAUACUCGCAGUAUUAAGCAAAGCAGAUCCACUAACAGUAGUAUUCACAGGCUGAGACACACCAAAAGGGUGAGACACCGUCUCGCUAACAUUUCCAUUCAAAUUUAAAGGCAAAGAUUCUUUAUCUUUUGAUGAAGUAUCGCAAAGCUACCCGUGGCUGUUGUUGAAGCAGUGGUGUCGCGAGCCUGUGUAGAUGCUGCUGACCCCUCGCCAGAUCCGAGCACAGGAGAACCACCUUGAGUAGGAGGUAGGGUACCAAACUUCACCAUAGUGUUGUCUUGCGUCUGUGGAGGAGGACUGUUACGAACAGAUCUGAGCUCUUCCAACAUUUCGAGUCGAAAGGCGUUGAGGGACUCUUGGUAAACGUUGAGCGUUGUUUGUUGCUCGCCGAUCCUUGCAGCUGUCUCAUCCUUGUGCACUUGUAAAUCAAACUCAACUGAAGACAGCUCCCCAGUACCUUGAGCUGGAUUAGGAUUUUGUUUUUCACCAUUUUGGUUUUGGCCCCCCCAAUCGAGGGCUCUGAUACCAAAUGUAAUGGUACCAAACCUGAUGGCUAUGAAUGGAAAGGAAUUGAAAGACAAUGAGAGCAAAAGAGUUUUUUCAUAGAUGGCUGCUGCGUUUACACUGUUUGGUAUAGGAUGCUGACACGCGUCAAACAUCUAACUAAGGAUACAAUGCAAAAACCCUAGCAGUAAAUUACUUGUAAUAACUAGUAAGAAAGGCUCGUGCAAGACAUGUGCACCGCAAAAAAAGUAUACUUCUCCUAAUCACUCAGCCGAUCCCAGCCGAUCCCAUUACAUAGUCUUGUGUUCAGUGAAGAAAUAGAUGUCCUUGUUGAGCCUCAAGUCGUGUGGUCGUCUGGUCUUAAAGUCUUCCCAUAUCUCUCAAGGUUCUUGCUUACCGUAAAGGUCGCAGUCGAAUACCACGCGAUUUCUACCAGGCACGUUCUCCCCAGUCAACAUGGGCUUGAGGUAGAAGAGAACUAGUUCAUCGUCCAUGGGGCAGAACCUUUGGCCAGGAAGUUGGUUGCCUCUGCUCUCCUCCACGAGAAUUGUUUCUCUUGCUUUUCUUGGUUUCAGAAAGAUUUGUCUAUGGAAUGAAGAUGAGUAGCUAGGUUUUAAUGGAUAAAAUUGUUUCUGGAAAGAAGACGAGUAGGGUUUUGAUGAAUCAGUUUAUAGAAAGUUAGGCCGGGCUAGGGCUUAAGAUGAGUUUUGCUACAAAGAAGAUAGGAGUCGAUCGGUUUAUAGAAACCAAUGACUUAGGGUUCAGAUAGGAAAAGGUUUUAAAUGGUCCAAUUUAUAGAAAAUAAUGACUUGGAGGCUAAUAGGAUUUCCAUGGGACAAUAGGAUUUCCAUAUCCUAGACGGUUUCUAUUUUUCUUUCUUGCUAGCUACAUAUUUUUUUUAGAGAAAAUUACAUCAUAACACAUAAUCAAAUUUAAAAAUACAAAAAACCCACUUCUGAUAAUUUUGUUAUAAAUUAAGACAAAAGCCCGAAGUCCAUAAUCUAUGAUACCAAGCCUAAUCCGAUUUUUCAUUGUUAAAUGACCAAAAUACCCAACUUCACAACAAAAUUACAAUUAAUGUCAUACCCUCUCUCUCUCUCUCUCUCUCUCUCUCUCUCUCUCUCUCUCUCUCUCUCUCUCUCUCUCUCUCUCUCCCAAAACGCCAGAACGAUAGUAGCCAUCUCAACGAUUUGGAUGAAAAAUCAUGACUUUAAGGACUAUUCAGAUUAAAAUAAAACCACAAGAACUGAACAUAUGUUGACUUCAAACUAAGGGUCAUCAUUUGGCCCGCGUCGGCCCAAAGGGCCAAAGCCCGACCCCGCCUGUCAAAAAGCCCAUCUCGGCCCGCCCAUAAGACAUGAGUGUAACGUCCUGAUUUGCACCUCAUCAAAUCGAGCACAUUACAGUGCCACGUACCCUUAGAACCUAAGCUAGGGCCCAUCACUCAAGUCCUAAGAACCCGCAAGGAAUUUUUAAUUUGAAAUAACUAAAGCUUUCUUGAAUUGAAAAUUAAUGUUACAGUCGGAAGCGUUUAAUAAAUUAAGGUGUACGUAAAACAUUAUAAGAAGGCAGAUUUACUUCCUUUAAAAUCCAGUUAUGAAGCACGAGGCAAAACUAAUGUGAAAUAACAACUCUAAUAAAACAUUUCCAAGAUUAACUAAAAUAUAGCUCCUUGAUAGUACGAGUAACAAUGACAAGGAAAUAGAAUAAAGUAGCUGACAAUUAAACAACUUCAAACAAGAUUUCCAAAUAACAAGGAAAAGGGAAGAUACUAGGACAUGAAAUGGAAACCUCACAUAUGAUAACAAAUUCGAAAAGACAUUUAACUUCAAUCAAAUAAGCACACCCAGCUCAAUCUUGUUCUUGUGCACAGAACCUGCAUCCAAAACUGUUGUAAGGGUGAGCUUUUGUCCUCGCUGCUCAAUAAGACCCAACCAACUAGGUUUGAAAACUAUUUAAUUUAUUGGCCAGUAUGUGAAAAUAAAUAUAAAUAUAAAUGAUGAUCAAAUCAUAAAGUAUAAGUUUCAUUUCGAAAAACAUCUACGGGCCCAAAAUACACAAACCGGAUGACCGGUCCUCUUAUGCCAACUACAACCUUACAGCAAUUAAUAUCAUCCAUACCGACAAGGUGUAGCGAGAGUGUCCAUUUAUGCUAUACCGCUUAGGAACGACGCCACACCUCAAAGGAUGUCAGGCAUCCUCCAGUCCGUAAAACCCCUCUGAAGGUUUAGGGGAUCGAAACCCAAGGAAGUCACUAUGCCCCGCUCACUCUCAGGUCAUCACACAAUGUCGAAAACAAUUGAAACCACGCAUGGCAAUAAAAUAUCAAAUCUUCAUAAUAAUCAAUCACCGCCAUGCAAAUCAUUUUUCAUAUAUAAUAUACGAAAACCACUAGCCAAGAAGAGUCUAGAAUCUCCUACCUGAUAUUCCUGGAGUCCGAGUCUUUGCUCCACAACACUCGGCAAACACCACCAUACUCGAAAACUCGAGAACCGAAGCUCUGUCCGACAUUUCAAAUAUUAGUUCCUUAAACAUCAAUUAGGAACUCUUUUCAAAAACUUACCAAGAUCACAUGUUCUAUAUCUCAUAAUGAUCAUAUAAGGUGAUUGCCACAAUAGCUAGUUAUGAAGACCGAGCUUAGCUCAACACACCACCAAGCCAACUAAUAAUGGCAUACUUAAAUCAUUCUUUAUCUCUAGCUCAAAUGAGCAUCUGAACCCCAUUCGUUUCUCAUUCAAAUGCUUUAACCAUUCCAACUUAUCAUGAACUAUUGCCAAGUAAUUUGAUUCACCACUUCCAUGUACAUUAACUCAAUGAAACACGCUAGAACUUUAUAAUAAGAGUGUUCCAUUCAAAGAAACUCAUAUUUAUCAAUAUUUCAAACAUGUCCAGUAUCCUUAUGUUUCAUUAGCUUUCAAUUCAUAUCAUGAUGUAAACCAUUAUACCAAUAUGCCCUUAAACACACCGAAUAGCAACAAUUUCCGGAUUCCAAUGAUAUAUCAAUUACACCUUUCAAUUGAACCAAUCUAUAACUUAUGCAGCAUACUUAUAUGUAGCAACUCAUCAAUGCUUUGACCUAUAUGUAAUUCUACAAGUAUAAUUAAACCCAUCAAAUAUAAUGGCCAAUGUAAUAUGCCACCGUACCUUGUAGAUUCUUAAAUUGCAAAUUCCUUUCCUCUUGCUGCAAUAUUGACCACAAACAACAGUCCCUCUUCUGUUUCCACCAAAAUGAACACCGAUAUUCACUACCAAAAUUUAAAGUACAAAAACAAACUGAAGGGGAAGAAUCUUACCCAAUAUUGGUUUCUUCUAUGUUCCUACUUCGUCCAAAACUCUCCAUCUUCCCAUUUCAAGCUUUUCUGAAAAUCCAUAUAUUGCUCCUCUAUCCAAUGAAUCUGUCAUCCAAUUAAGUUCUAGUUAUUAGCACCCAGACCAAAUUUCAAAACCCAAGUCAGACUCAUUCCUUUAAAUGAGAAACNCCAUAUAUAUAUAUAUAUAUAUAUAUAUAUAUAUAUAUAUANNNNNNNNNNNNNNNNNNNNNNNNNNNNNNNNNNNNNNNNNNNNNNNNNNNNNNNNNNNNNNNNNNNNNNNNNNNNNNNNNNNNNNNNNNNNNNNNNNNNNNNNNNNNNNNNNNNNNNNNNNNNNNNNNNNNNNNNNNNNNNNNNNNNNNNNNNNNNNNNNNNNNNNNNNNNNNNNNNNNNNNNNNNNNNNNNNNNNNNNNNNNNNNNNNNNNNNNNNNNNNNNNNNNNNNNNNNNNNNNNNNNNNNNNNNNNNNNNNNNNNNNNNNNNNNNNNNNNNNNNNNNNNNNNNNNNNNNNNNNNNNNNNNNNNNNNNNNNNNNNNNNNNNNNNNNNNNNNNNNNNNNNNNNNNNNNNNNNNNNNNNNNNNNNNNNNNNNNNNNNNNNNNNNNNNNNNNNNNNNNNNNNNNNNNNNNNNNNNNNNNNNNNNNNNNNNNNNNNNNNNNNNNNNNNNNNNNNNNNNNNNNNNNNNNNNNNNNNNNNNNNNNNNNNNNNNNNNNNNNNNNNNNNNNNNNNNNNNNNNNNNNNNNNNNNNNNNNNNNNNNNNNNNNNNNNNNNNNNNNNNNNNNNNNNNNNNNNNNNNNNNNNNNNNNNNNNNNNNNNNNNNNNNNNNNNNNNNNNNNNNNNNNNNNNNNNNNNNNNNNNNNNNNNNNNNNNNNNNNNNNNNNNNNNNNNNNNNNNNNNNNNNNNNNNNNNNNNNNNNNNNNNNNNNNNNNNNNNNNNNNNNNNNNNNNNNUUGUUUUUCGUAGUUUGAGAGCCUUACCGAUUACCAAAUUAGCUGAAAUUUUACAGAGAUGAUCUACACAAUAUUAUCUAGAUACUAGACGGUGGAGAUGAGAAAAUUCGAUCGAAAAGUGGUGCAAAAAUGGAAAUCCGCACCAAAACUUUGGUGCGGACGUCCGCAUCUAAGAAUUCCUGUAUAUAUAUAUAUAUAUACACACACAUGGCUGGUCUAAACAUCUACAUCUCACUUAUAUCCAAAAGAAAAUUUUACAACAUCAACCAUGCCUUUAGCUCGUGGCCAAAAUCAUGCCACUAUAAUCCAUGAGUUUAUUAUAGAGUAAUUCUGCACUCAACAACACAAUCAGUAAAACUUGGGUUUCUUUGUUACCUUAUCAAACCACCAAUUACGGGUUUCUUCAUCCUUGCAAUUGUAAUUAUACUGGGAAUCUUCCAUUCUGUUUCAUUCAAACAAAAUCACCGCUUAACACCACUAUCAUAUCCUUCUAAAAGUAUAGAAAUGGUUAAAGUGCAGUAUGCACACAAAUGUCAAAGACUUGGUGCAAAAACCUCAAUGAGGGAAAAGGCACCAAGUAAGAUUAUUCCAUUAAUCUUCAAACAAUAAACACAAAGUGUACUUCUCACACAAUUACACAAUUUGAAUACAAUGCUCUCUUCUUACUCCUCACACAAGUAAUGCAGAUCAAGUAACAUUAACAAAAGAAACUAAAUUGCUAGACUGAGAUCUCACACACUCAUCUAUGCUAGUUCUCACACAACUAGAUUUUGCUACAGCUUACACAUAAUCAGUUUAUGCAGCAAUACUGAAACUAUAUCUCUUUCAGUUGGAAGUUUGACUGUUUUCUUGUACAGUCAGGAUUCCUUGGUUCUGAAUCACAACCAGUUUCUCAUCUUCCACCAAACCAGGUUUCAACAAUCUCAAAUGCAAUCCAUCUGCAAGUAAGAAGGAGAUACUUAGUUGAUAGGUAAACACACACAGGCGGUUUUCAAUAUGAGUGUCAACAGAAAACAACUCAAGUCACAUAUUUCUAAAUGCAGCAGAAGCAAUUUAUAGAGUAUGAAAAUACUCCCCCUUAACUAAUGCCAUUCAAUGACCAGAUCAGAAAUCAUUUCAGAUAUGAAGCAAUCAUGUUACAUCUGUUGAGCACUUUCCAAAACUGAUAUACCAGUUUACUGCUAUAAUAAAGUCAUUAAAAAUAUGCAAUUCAAUUUCCUGAUCAUGUUGAUGCCAAUGAUAAAGCACAUAGACAUACAAAACCAGAUAAGCAAGAGUUAUGCAGAUAACUAAUUCUAAUGAACUUGAUUUGGAAAAUCACCAAGUCAAAUAUCCUAAAGUAAUUAGAGAUCCUACAAAUAAGCACUCUAAAGAACUUGAUAUGGAAAAUCCUAAACAUAAGAUUUUUACUAGAAAUUUUUCACUCAAGAUAAUUAACCAAUAAAGAGAUUAACUUACCAUAAACGAUCCAGUGAAAAACUCAUUACCUAUAACACUUGAGGUAAUACCUCUAAUUAUGCAGACUUGUGAUCAACACUUGAACUUCCAUAUCGUAUAACAGUUUUUUCCUUUCUUCACUGGGAAUCCUUGUGUUGAAUAGGUUCUGCCAACAUGUCAACACCUUCUAAUUGAAUCCAAUCUCAAUUCGGUGAAAGAACAUUUACCUUUUUAUUUAAGCUCCACCGCUGUUCAAUAACUUCCCACGGAAAUCUUGUAACCCAAAUUCAACUCGGGUUUGUUGUCAUCGACAACCAUCGUAGCCUUGAGCUGAAGAUAACAUCAAACCCAAACUAAUUAGCUGCCUUGUUGUCUUGAAGAUGACCAUGGAAUAAUCUCGCAAGAGGUACAAACAAGAUGAGAGAAGGUGCGAGAUAUCGAGAAAGUUCUUGAGGAGAAGAGAGCGUACGGGAGAAGCUGGUCAUCCUGAUCAGGCUCUUCAAUUUAUAGUUUCACUUGUGAAAUUACUAUGUUGCCCUUUACAGGCCCAAACCCGAGACACAAAAUGGAUUGCAAAGCCUACUCAAUAGACCCAAUUCGAAAGUGAAAUCUCUCAAGCCCAAACUAAAUCGAGCAAUAUACAUCCCACUUCAGAAAUUGUUUACUAUAAUCCAUUCCUGACUGCAAUACAUAUAGCAUAACUUUAUGGGGCCUUACAAUGAGGCUGGGCAAUUGCAAAGGGUUCAAAGCCUCGGCCUGGCUCGUUACAUGCCUAUCAAAGCCAGUCGUGCCCGGCCCUGAAAAAGCCCGUCUAAAAGCUCUUUUAAUUGUUUUAUUAAUAUUUUCAUGGAGUUAUUAGUUAAAUAUGUGAACUAAUUAAUGGAUUAAAUCAUAUUUUAUUACAUUUAAUUCAAUCAUUAACAAAUCUUAACUUUUUCAUAGUUUUUUUAUUUUAUUUUAAUAAAAAUCUAUUAGUUAUAUUUAAAUAAUAAGCCCGGCUCAGCCCAUUCAAAAAGCCCGGCCUGGCCCAGCCCUAAAAAGUCUGGGCCCGUGGGCUUUGAUUUUUUUGAAUAGUAAGGCCCGGCCCAGUCCUAUAAUUGAGAAAACAUGAUUGAGGCCCGGCCCGAGCCCAUAAGGCUUGGGUAGGGCCGAGCUUUUUGACGGCCUCUACUUCAAACCAGAAUGACUAUACAGUAUUUUAUCCUAUUAUUAAUUACUUUAAUAACAACCAUAACUACAUAUAGAACCAAAGGGUAUCUAGGAUCUUUUAAUAUAAGAUGUUCCACUUUAACCUAACAUGUAUACAUUAUCCAAAUCGUUUUGUCGUUCCUCCAUAGUGUCCUUUUUCUCUACUCUUUAUACUCUUCUUCUCCAUGAAUCCCAAAUUUAAAAUAUAAACCAAGAUUGAUUUACCAUCGAUCUCUCACUCUCUCUCUCUCUACUCCUCUUUAUUCUCUUCUUCUCUGAUUGAUUCAAACAAAAACCCAGAUUCCAAAAUGAAUGUGACUUAAAAAAACAUACCUAGAUUUUCUUUUCUCUACUGCACAUCCAUAAUUCUCUUCUUCUCCUCUCUCUAUUCUAUUCUUAUAUCGAGUUUGAAAUUGGGUUUGAUUCAAUUUGAUUUAUGUUUUGAGGUAUAAGUUUGAAGACGAGAAAUAAAAAAAUUUAGACCGGCUAGUCGGUCGACCGCCCAGACCUGCCCACACCGCCUAGGCCACCGACUUUCGCCUGGAUGCCUAGCUCAACUGAUUAGGGGAAAAUCAGAACGGAUGGGUGACACCCAACGCCUGGGCGCCGUUUUUUAGAACAUUGGUUAAAAGGAUGGUGUUAUCUAAAGAUGACCAAUUUUAGACUUUUCAGUACCUACAUAAACAUCAUCUAAGGAGGCCAAAAUCAAAACAAUGUGUUAUGUAAGCUCAUUUAUUUUUGUACCCAGUGACACUAAACAUCGAUCUGCCUAACCAAACUGGAUUCCUUAUUUAACACAAUCAUACUUAGUCCCAAAAAACAAAUAUGCACUAAAUGACUUAGGUAAACGUUGUCCCUUUCAUAUUCAGACGACUUAUAUGUGUUGUCUUAAAUCCAUCAUACCUAGUAUAUGUUGUCCGUUUCAUAUUGAGACGACAUAUAUUUGUCGUUUUUAGUUCAUCCAGACAACACUUAUUAUUUGUCGUUGGAAGACAUAAACACCACCAAGUGAAAGGCAUUAGGCGACACAACGUUGUGUCGCCUUAUGAUAAAAAAUAUAAAAAAAGUGUCGCCUAGUACCGUGUCGCCUCUUUGGGUAUCAAGUGACACAAAUGUUGUGUCACUUGAAAUUAACUUAGGCGAUUUAAGUUAUGAUAAAAAAAUAAAAAAAAGAGUUGCCUAGUACCAUGUCGCCUCUUUGGGUAUCAAGUGACACAAAUGUUGUGUCACCUGAAAUUAACUCAGGCGAUUUAAGUUAAAAGAAGUCUUCUGUCGCCGGAGUGUUUAUCAUGCAACAUGUAAAAUAUUAGGCCAGAAUUAAUAUUUUUAUCAGGCAACACUACAGUUGUAUCGCCUUAUCCAUAUAUUGGCAUAGUGCAUUGUCGCCAACUAAUUGGUCACAUUCUCAAUAUUUCAACUGUACAACACCACUAACAUCCUCAUUGAACAUCAUGUUGACCAUCUCUUUGAUAAAGAAUGUUUACAUCGCAGUGGUGUUUUUUUCAAAGUGGGAUUCCAAUUUCUUCCAGAAUUUUGGCGCAUUAGUUUCUUUAAACACAUGGUGCAAGACAGAAUCAUUCACCCAUUAUCUUAUCGUGCCAACGGCUUUCUGGACGUGAAACUUUCAGCACUUGUCAUAUGUCAUGCAUAUUGCUAGGCUUGGUAGCCACACCUUAAAUAGGCUCAUGCAUAUCAUGAAAAUAAAGGAUAUCCUCCAUUCUUGGCUUCCACGUCACCCAAUUCGUGUGGGUGAGUUCAAUCAUUGUGCUUUUCGCUUUAUCCAUCCAGACAACACUGACCCUGCCAAAUCAAACCUUGGAUUCCUAGAUGAGUCAAAGCUUUGAUAUCGCUUGUUGUGCAUUCAGUUAAUAAGUAUGUCGAAAUACCCAAAAAAACAUAGCAAACCUAGAGAAACGACCACAAAGAUACAAGCACAAGAACAUAGAUUUAAACCGAUUCAGCGAAUCUUUUCCAUAUGUCUACCAGCCUAAAAACACUUUUCCACUAUAAAGAGAAUUCCAUAGUCCCAGAUGCAAUUGAGCGCAUUGGUAAUGAUACACGCAUUUAAAUUUAACUUUGUGUAAAAAAGGCUUGAUGAACAUCUUUGCGCUAGUGGCUUGGUCUUCCCUAACCUAGUUAGCCAUUGGUUUAUGGUACCUUCUAAUAAACAUUGGUUAUCCUUAACUUUCUAGACAUAGGGGACCUUUAGGUUUAAAAAUUGUGACUUCAAUGACCUUUUGGAUUAAAUUAGAAGUGCAAGGAUUGAAAUGGGGAGGGGCUCUAAUAAGGACCAUUAAGUUAAGGACUAGUUGAGGGUUUUCUCAUUAAUCGUUUAUUACACCCACUUUUCAAUUAUAUUUUUCCAUCUCAAUCGUUCAGUUUUUAGGUCUAUAUAAGUAGAUCAUUUCUACAAAUUUUCAGCUAAAUUGGUGAUCGUUAAGGGAUCAAACUAAAUCAAAUCAAUGGACAAUCUUAAUCUGUCAAACAAGAGUCGUUCAAGUUUAUAAUUGGUAAAUCAUAUUUAUGAAUGUCUUAAUGAUUUUCAAUUUGGAUGAAAAUUUGUAAAAAUGAUCUACUCAUAUAUAUCUACAAACUAGACGGUCGAGAUAUGAAUAUGUGAUCAAAAAAUAGGUGAAAUGAAGAAGCCAUCAACUUAGUGGUCCUCGUUAGAACCACUCCCCUAAAAUGAGGGCAAAGCAUAGUAUAAGGAGUAAAAAAUAGUCAACCAUUUUCUUAAACAUACCCAUGCGGCCAUGCCACAUGUAGUAAACCCAAGUUUUGUUUUUAUUUAUUUAUCAUUAUGUUGACAUAUACCUUAGAGGAAUUGAUUAUAUACUCUUACAUUGCAUUACAUCAUUUUCACUAAUGUUUAGCUCAAUAUAAAACUUGUCUUUUCAUUCAUUUGUAUUAUUUUAUGCGCAUGGUCUACUAGUAUGUACAAUUUACAACUAGUGAUCGAGGCAGUGAGCGGUCGUGGGUCUAGGGCGAACGAUCGAAGGUUAGGAAUGGGACUGAGCGAUUUCGGGGGCUGUAGCAACAAUGUCUUUACUGCUUGGAGAAUCACCUGGAGUGGCGGUAAUUACGUGUAUUUUUACACACGUAAUUAGUACUAAAACAUUAUGAAUUAGCUACCCUCAUAACAAUUAAUAUUUAAUUAAUCUAUUUUUAUUUAUUUUGUAGGAAAUAAGCGGAAAUAUGGAUUUCGGAAAAAAUGGCGUAACAUUGAUGCAAAAUGGAAAUUCCGGGAAAAUGUCGAAAUUCUUGAUGCGCUCAACUUUGAUCGAUGUUUAGAAGAAGCAUAUAUUUGUGGGAAUGUGCUUGAAUUAACAAGAAGAAGAAGAGAUGGAAGAAAAUUGAAGAGUGGAUUAAUUAAUCAAUUAAAUGAUUGAUUAACCAUUAAGUUGGUUAAUUAAGCUUUGAUUUGGUUGGUUGAGAAAACCAGCAUCAUCACGCGCAAUCUCAUCCUCUUUCAAUUGUGGCCAUCCACAUGCUGCCACGUGGCAAUGCUCCUUCGUUCUUCUACAUCAAAACCGAGACUACCGAAUUCUCUUCCUCUGUCACUGAGGAGCCGCACACACAGAAAACGGGAGGGGCUUUGCCCUCUCCCUCUCCCAUCUCAUCCUUCCUCUUUUCUCUUUCAAUUUCUCUUAGUCUAGUGUAAUUUCUUUCGGCCAUUUCAUGGAUUACUCACAUCAAGCUUCAAGAUUUCAACCUCUACAAGAUUGGAUUGGGUAAUUGUCAGAGAUAUAAAUCAAGAGUAGUUAUGUUAGCUCUUUAGCUAUUUGUGACUACUCUUGUUCUCUCUUACAUUUCUCUACUCUUUUCUAUUUCAAUUUUGUAAUUUUGAUGUCUAUGAUUAUGGGUUGUGAGUAAUUUCAUAGUUGGGGGUUAGGGUUGUGCACCUUAACCCGAAUUUUAUGUAAUGGAUGCCUAUUUUAAUGUAGUGAUGCAAUUUCAUAUGUUGGAUGCUUGUUUCUAAUUUUAUUAGGUUGAAAUGCAUGUCUAGGAGCCAGUCAACUCUAGGGUGUGUGUUUUGAUAUGUCUAGGAUCUAACUAGAGGCUUGACCCCUUCUAGUUACUAAGCUAGUGAGUUACAAGCAUAGUGAUUUACACCCGUUGCGUGAUUGCGCUGGCGGAUUGCUUAGUGGUCUAAUUCUUGAGCUUUAUGCGGACUAGAGUGAGUUAAUGGCCCUUGAACCGGCUCUAACUCUCUCUAAUUGAGUUAGUGUGACCCUUGAACCGGCACAUUGAUACCGAAUUGUGAAUAUAUGGUCCUUGAGCCUUGAACCACCUUGUAUAUGACUACCGCCGAAAUAGGAAAUUAGCAUCUUCAUUAUAUAGCUUCCGGCACAUAAGAUUUGGAGGAAUGAACCUUCCUUGCUCCCAACAUUCCCAUUUUGUUGUUUUCACUUUCUUUAGUUUAUUUGUAAUUUUAGUUGUCGCAUUUUAUUUCGGUUAAUUAGGUAUCAAAAUCAAAUCCUCGGUGACAUUUUCUACUCAUUGUAAAUAGUCAUCACUAGGCAUUAGUAUUGAUUAGGCUUUGGUGCAAACCGAGGCCGAGCAUUGCUAAGGCUUGGUGCCUUAGAGCAGCAUUUUUCUUUAUUUUCUUUUAUUUCUUUAUUUGGAUUAGUGACUUAUUGCCGAUUACUCAAGAAUUGUGGUUAGCCCUUCAAUCCCCGUGGUACGAUACUUGGGGUCUAAAUACUUCUCAUUUCUUUAAUGGCCGUGCUAUAUUGCGUGUUAGUUACACAUCUAAAAAACAUCAAAUCAGGCGGCUAUCUAAGCGCUAGAUUGCCAGAAGGCGGCAACAACUAUGCUGGCUGCGUUGGUGACUGCUAUGGAGAGGUGCCUUGAGCUAUUAAGGCAGGGCUUUGGGCCUUGAGUUUUGAGCCUUGUGCUUUGGGACUUGGGCUUUGGUGCCUUGGGAUAUGGGCCAUAGGCCUUGAGAUAUGGGCUAUGGGCCUUGGGAUUUGGGCCUUCAGCAUUUAGAUUUAGGCCUUAUUUGUUUUUUAAUUGUAAUUUUAUAUUUUAUUUUGUCAUAAUGGUGUGGUGGUCGGUGACCUCUCUCCUAUUUUUUAGGUAAAGAUGUCGUCAGUUAGCCUCUUGGUUUUAUGCAUUUGAAUUUUCAUGGGAGGGAUAGGGCGUUAUUUAUUUGAUGGGCUUAACGAUGAAAAUGAUGCUUGUAGUUGGGUAAUGAUUCUUUUCUCAGUCCCACUACAAGGAUUGACUCUUGUAUACCAAAAAAAAAAAAUACAAGGAUUGACUCAUUAAUUAAAAAAAAAAAGUGUAAUAUAUACAACUUAAUGAUGUUAAGAAAAAUAAUAAUAUAUAGCUUAGCUGUACUUAGACUUUUUUUUUCACAAUAAACAUGCAUUUGUAAUUGGACUUAAUUCUUCUCCAAAUUGGUGCUUCUCUAAAAUUACAUUUAACAUGUGAAACUAAUUUAAAACAAAUCAAUCAAAACAUCACAGUCAUCAUAUAUAGUGGUUGUUCAAUUGCUAAAACAUGACUUCUAAACAAAUGCAGAAAAACUAGUGGAAGAGUAGUCCAACUAUUCAAGGGACGUGUGAAGGCGUGACAGUUUUAGGACUUUUUAAAAUUGAAUUCUAAUCGGAACAGAUAUUACCAGGAUAGUAACCAUCGCAAAUUCACUUUAUUUCUCUGGUAAAACUCUAAUUAAUUAGAUUUCUUCUUUAAAGCUAAAUGAUUUAACUUAAAACACCAGGGUCGGCCCUGGCCAAGACAAGCAAGGCCUAGGUCUAGGGGCUCAAAAUCUUAGGGGCCUAUAAUAUAUAAUGUGUGGUGUAAUUAUUCAAUAUGAAUAACAUGCUUUAGUGGUAAGCAUUUGUCAUAACUACUAUGACUUUAGGGUUUGAAUCCCAGAAGUGUCAAAUUUUUAUUUUUUUCAAUUGUAGUUCUAAUCCAUAUCUAUUACAUUUUUUUUUUUGGGUAAAUGAAAUUUGUACUCCUUAUUUUACAAACCACACUCCUUAUUUCCUUUUCUAGUAAAUUAAAGGGUGCGGCUAUUUCCACCCCACUAAAUGCUCAGUUUUACCCCACGUCUAAUUUUAUUCUUUAAAAUUCCAAUUCUGCCAUUAAAAUUUUGUGAAAAUCUAGUUUUUAUUUUCUUUCUUUUAACUUACAAUUACAAAAAUGAUAAUAUUUCAUCAAUAUAAUUGACGCAUACCUCCAUUCUUCUCAAACCACAUCCUAUAUUCUCCUCGAUC